GGGUCUCUAUCUGCUAAUGGGGUAGCCGGCAAUGCAGUCUAAGAGCUGGCUACUGCUAAUGUGAUUUCUGGAUUUGAGAGGAUGAGAACUUGAGAAGAACAAGCUUGAUACUACAAUUGCAAAAAAUAUAUUCUAUACUACAGGUAUUCCUUUCAGUAUUGUUGCAGCAAACCUUAGUUAGCUAAUUUUCUAUGAACUGGUUGUGAUUGAUUUCUGAACUUUAGAGCUUGUGAAUUGUAAUUUGUUGUUUCAUAGGAUCCUUGAAGGUCAAUACAAGGGUAUCCUACGAAAAUUCAUUACUUCCUAUAAUCAUACUAAUGUUUCAGAUUUUUAGUUAAGCAUUUUAGAAUUCUUGCAAACAUAGGAGUAUAUUAAAUCUUCAUCCUCUUAACUAGUUGAGAGUUGAGACACACCAUACAUAGGCUCUGCAAGCAGGCGGAAAUAGACCUCUUCGUCGAUGACUUCUACGAGGACGAUAUUGACCUAGAGGCUGGAGCUUUGCUACUCUUUCCGGCCAACAACAAGGGAUCGUUUACUUUUUCUCUCCCCACAUCCAGUCCUUCCCUGUUCCUAUCCCUCCUGCUUAUUUCUUGCUAUAGGGCAACAUAAUGCAAGUGUUUGUUAAAUUGUUGGUCUCAAUGCUCCAUUCUAGCAGAAGGAUUUUCGGUAGGAAGACAUAGCAUCAAUCAAGGAUUUUCGGGUGGAAGACAUAGCAUCACUCAUGGUUGUAUAGAUUUACUGUUGUAUUUCUGUAUUUUUGCAAAACUAGUUCAGUAAAGCUUGUAGCUUAUUUCAGUUCUUAAGUGGUUUUACACUUAGGCUUGUAUUGACUUACUACUUAUUUUUUCCAUAAUUUUGCAACACUAGUUCUGUAGUACAUAGUACAAUUUUUUAUGGAAUCAAGUCAAAAUACAUGUAUAUCUAGCCGUUUGUAUUUCUACAGUCAUGCUUCUAAAGAUUGUAUGGUUUUAUUUUCACUAUAGAUUUGCUUGAGUAGUUCUGUAACUUCUAGAAUAGAUCAGUUAAGAGGUUUUACUCUUAGGCUUGUAUAAACUUACAACAUCUUUUAUUUGUAUUUUUGGAACAUUAGUUUUGUAUAGCUUUACUUUAGUUUCUGGAAACAAGAUUAAAUACGUAUGUUUGCAGUUUGUAAUUUACAGUAGUAUUUUUUGUGAAUUUGCUUCACUAGUUCUGUAAAAUGUCUAGAAUAGUUCACUUCUGGAAUGAAGAGUUAAUAUGUAUUAAUCAAUCUUCUAAUUUUACCUUUUCGCUUGUAUAGAUUUCCAGCUGUAGUAUUUUUGUUAUUUUUCUUCAGUAGUUUUGGAAAAUGGACUAAAUAUGAAAAGUUGGUUCUAAUUUAUUGUCAGUCUUUUUCUAUAGAUGUUACAGUUGCAUUUUUCUUAUUAGUUUUUGGCAAUUUUGCAAUGAGAAAGGUUUAACAACUGUAGUCUGUUCUGGUUUAUAAGGGCAUUGUAUCCAUGAGGAAAUUUGUUACUUAUUUCUAAAUACAUCUCUUACUGUUUAUCUGUAUGUUGCAGAGCAACUCACAUUGGUGUAGCUUAGAUGCAUUUUAAGAUAUGGCAUGAAGCUAGCUAAGGUCUUCUAUUAUUUCUAGCAGCAUGUGAUUGACUGAACAAGAGAAGGACUCCACUCACAUAUGAAGUGCUUGCAAGUUCUUUUUAAAAAAGCAAAGGACCAGCGGUGUAGCUAAGGGCUUUAAUUUAUUAGUACUCCAUUUGUUGCUUCUAAAACACUUGUAUGCACAGAUACUAGUUUCUCUUGGUUAUCAUAAGUGAACAUUCUUUAGAUAAAUUUCGCCUAGUUUUUUUAGUGGGGAAGGAAAGCUUCAUGAUAUUCCAUUUAAAACGCUGAUAUCUAUUUGAGAAUUAAUUUAUGUGCAUACCUCCUCGACCUAACAGUAUUUUUCUACUGUAUAGGAGAAAUCUUCUCAGUUUCUGAAUCCUGAGCAGUAGCAAGUCAGGUGCUUAAUGGUGAUCCUACCAUGCAUAUGGCAUAAGCAAGUUAGUUCUAAAAAGGUCAUUGUUAAUUUGCCCACAUCUAUCCUGCAAUUGCGACAACUUAGUGCGGUGAGAUUAGAGGACGGUCAUCAAUUUAAUCUACUUUGUGGCACUAAAGUAUAGAUGCUUUUCUCCGAUGCUUUUAUGAAUAUAAUAGUCAGAUGUAGUUUAAGUUCAGAUACUUUUUGACUUUUUGUUUGGUAUUUUGCAUGUCCUCAUGUGCUUAGUACUGCAUUUAGAAAUGAUUUCAGAUAGAUUCUUCUCAUUGAAAUUCAUUUCUAACGCAGGGAAAGUAUGUAUAACCUCCUGAUGUACGUGGGUUUUGAGAAUGCUUUUCCCAGGCCAUGCUGCACUCAUCAUUGAAACUUCUAGUUGUGUAUUAGAUAGUAAUCAUUUUUGCCUAAUGUAUUGCUGUCUAGUGCAGCAAAGUGCGGUCUUUCCACCCCAGAGAAGAAAAAGAAAGAGAACUAGUGCAGUCUUUUCUUCAAAAAUGACUUUCAUGUGUCCCUUGGUGGAUGUGUUGCUCCCAAUAAUUGGGUGUCUGGACAUGCUAAAUUGUUGCCUUGUGGCCAGAUGAUGCAUAUGCUCCUUUUCCAUUUAAUAUACUUCCUGGUCUGCGGAUUGAGGAGAUUCAUACAAGCUAUAUGGUGGGUCGGUGUGGCAUUCAUGCUUUAUUAUGUCUAACCCAUCACAGAUUCUAAUUAGAACAUGCCCUAUAUUUAUAAUACUAAAAUCCCAGUUUGUUUUUGCCAUUGGCGCUUUAUACAAUUAUCAUUUUUCCAUUAUCUCCAUGAAUGCGUGAAUUCACCGGUCACCCUUUUAUCCUUUGUAGGAAUGAAAUACAAGAGGACCAGGAAGUAAGCAUGAAGAUGGCAGUUUGUGUCAGGUAGGCAUUUUGUGUAAUGGGGCAAAAACAUUGUGUAUUUUAUCAUUUUGUAAACCUAUAUAGUGUCUUGUCAAUUGGGUAUUUUGUGUAAUGGAGCAAACAAUGAAACAUUGGACAUGCAUCUAUCAUUUUGUAACCAAUCAGUUGUCUUGGUGAUUGAAACAUAAAUGCUUCUUCCUUUCAGUUAGUUACUUUUACCUAUAAGGAUAUCCUAUGUUGCAAUGAGAUAUGCAACUUGAUUGAUAUUGUUUGGAAAGGCACAAGCCAAAUAACGGUUGGGUAUUAAUAUAUCUUGCUCGGCUAAACAAAAUGCUAUCGAACUGUUGGUCGGCAAAAGAUAACAACAUCCUAUUGUUGGUUGGGAAAUGUUUAUGGCAGGGCCGAGAGAAAGUCGGUUGGCAAAUGUAGUACCGUUGGACUGUCGGUCGGGAAAAGUUCAUGGUAGGGCCAACAGAAAGUCGGUCGGCAAAGAAAGUACCAUCGAACAGUCGGUCGGGAAAAGUUCAUAGCAAGGCCAACAGAAAGUCGGUCGACAAUGCUUUGGAUGGCAGUCAAACAGCCGGUCGGGAAAGAUAUGUCGGUCGGGAAAAGGCUUUCCCGUUUGGACUUUCCCCAACAGACAGGGUCGGUCGGCAAUAGUCUUUCCCGACCGAUUGUCUGUCGGUGGAUGUUGUUUUCCCUACCGACUUGUCUAUUGGGGAUGUAGUGUUGUGGUGUAGUGUGUAACAAUGUUAUUGAUGUCCUCAUCAUGACAUCUCAGCCACCCCCGUUUCACCGUUUUGUCCAUAACUAAUUCAUCCGAAGUCCGAUUUUCACGUUCUUUAGCUCGUUGAAAAGCUCUUGACAUCCCCCUUCCUGCAAAAAUACCACCAAAAUAUUUUGACUCCAUCAAAUUUUGUGAAUUUUGGCAUCUUUGCCUAGGGCUUCCGCCACAUCAUCCGCUACACCACCACCGACUUCCGCAACCUAACCAAUUUUUCUCCCCAUCGCAUUAGUGGUUGCUUGAGGAGUGAUUUGAGUCUCCUAAGGUGUCUAGGCUACUUAGGGAUGGUUGCUUAUUCAUCAACCACCACCACUUUCGCAUAGGCUUACCAACCAUACACUCCCGCCACCCUGACCUAACCCAAUUUUGUUUGUGUUGUGAGUUGUGUCUCCUAAGGUGUUUAGGCUACUUAGGGACCGUGCUUCCAACCCCAACACCGUGUAUAGUCGACCACCUUACCCUCCACUUCCGCAUUGCGUCUCACAUCCCAUCAUUGCCAUUCCGCAAUUCCAUUGAGCUUCCACAAAACCACCACCACAUCUCGCUACCACCAUUUGACAUUUGACAUUUGAGAUUUUGAGUCGCGGUUUUUCCGUUUCCUAAGGUGUUUCGGCUACUUAGGGACGAGUCUCCAUCAUCUUGGUAUCUCCAUCAAGAUUACCGCCACUCAUCAUCACCGCGGACCAUAACCUCCAUAUCAUCGUGGUAUCCCUCCAUUGUAUAUUCUCCAUGCCAUUACAUUGAUAACCCCUAGCCCAUUUUGCGUUACUUACCUAUCGAGAUUAGUCAUUUGAGUAUUGUCGACAACAUUACAUGUGCACAUUAGUGAUCUACACCUCCCAUUGCAUACAUACCAUAACAUAUUGGCAUCAUCAUAUCAUCUCUUGUGCCUCAAGUUUUUUCCUACAUAUACCCAAUCGCUAUCUUGGUUUGUGCAUUCCGCAUUGUGGCCAUACACAUACAAAAAAAGAAUAAGCUUUUAAGCAAAAUAGAAAAACAAAGAAGCUCGUAAGAAAUAGCCAUAGCAUCAUAACACAUUGCAUAUAAGAUUGUCAUAUCCGAUCAUCUUGGAUCAUAACACUGGAACAUCAUACAUAUAUAGCAUACUUGGGAUAGAAGUCGUUGCAUUUUUGUCUCCUAUAGGUUGUGCACAAGUGUCAUAUCCGCCUAUUGAGCAAUCGUGCUAGCAUCUCUCUAGAGUUGUGCAACAAGAGCAUUUUCCACAUUUUGAGCUCAUUCCUUUGUUGCAUGACCCCAUUUAUCUAUCCGUGUGCCAUUUAUUGCUAUAGGUCUACUUGUUUCACUUGCGAUUUUGUGAAUCUCUUUCAACAUUAUUGACUCUUGCUAAAAUUUUGCAUCAAUUUUUUGUUGCCACUAUCCUCACCGAGCUCCACCAUAAGCCUUAUUUGUGUAGGUGUGAGAAACUGACAAGAAUUGGUACCAAUUGUGCUAUUUCCUUGUUACAUCAUUGAGUGAUCAUUGAUCCAUCUUCAACAUCGGUCAAGGUACAUUUGGUAUAGUUCUUCUCCUUUCUCCACUCACAUUGCUCGAGUCUUGUGAUGGAUAGGCAAUGCAUUUCAUCUUCGGUCUACAACAACAACGACGAGUUCGAUGCCACGAACAACUCCACCGACACCAAGAUGCAAGAUCAAAUGGAGGAGAUCAAAGACCUCAUCAAGUCCUACAAGCGAUCUUCCUCAUCUUCGAGAAGACGCUCAAGUACACAUGCUUCCAAGCUACCAUCUCCGGCAAGGUCACAUCGGCAUCGACACCAUCACCACCACGAAUGUGAAGGUCAAGAGCUCAACACCAACAACCGCUCAACGACUUCACCAUCUCCCUUGGCAUCUUCGCCUAUGGACAUACAACAUCUUCACCCACAAGCGCUUCAAGAGAAGCUCCCCAAGCUCAAGUCCUCGACUUGCACAAGCUACUACGACCUCGACAUCGACCAUGCGAUUCCUUUCUAUGGGACUCAAGAACCCGAGGAGUAUCUCGAGUGGGAGCGCCUCAUGGACGACUACCUCAAGCUACAUCAAGUUCCUCCCGAAGAUCAGGUGAAGUGCACCACAAGGAACUUCCAUGACUACGCGCCCACAUGGUGGCUUCACGCACCCUCAGAGAUCUACGACAUGAGUUUGCCCAAGACGAAGAGAGCUUUGCAGCAAGAGUUCGUGCCUCAAACCUACACAGAACAACUUCAACGCCAAUUGGAGAACACCAUCCGAGGAUCCAAGUCCAUCGACGAGUACUUCAAGGAGAUGAAGAUAGCCUUGCGAUGAGCCGGCGUGGACAACCCCAUUUUGAUGAGGUUCCACUUCAUGAUGGGAUUGCACAACGACAUUUCCAAGACGAUCUUCCUUGAGAACUACAAGUCCCUCGACGACAACUACAUUGGUGCUCUCAAGGCGGAACAAGAACUCAUGAAGGCCAAAGCCUCUCCACCCCAAGCUCACUUCGCGACGACCAAGAUCCAUGAUAACAAGCAUGAGGCUAGUACCACCAUGAUGUCCAAGCCUGACAAACUCCAAGACGAUGCUCCCAAGUUUGACUUCACCGCCAUCCCUCUUUGUGGCAUUGAUGAUGUUGGGUCUACUUCGACUCUUUGCCAAAAUGGUGCGGCGACGACUACAACUACGGAGAUCAUCAAGGACCAAGCUUUGGAUACGAGCGACAUGGUGAUGAGCAAGGAUGAUUCUUCCAUCUUAGGAGGCGGGAGUGGUGUUGUGCCAUCUUCGGCCUUCAUCCAUGGCGACGGCGAUGAGAUGGUUGAGCAUGGGAUUUUCCCUUCGACCACAUCGACAUAUGAUGACUUGAGUGACUUUAGCCACCAUAUUGAGAGUGAGAGUGACUUCAUCACUAGCCCGAUAUGUGAUGUGUUGCCACAAUUCCCUUGUGAGGAGAGCCACAACCCCCACCACUUGAGUGAGAUGAGUGACUCCACCAUAUGUGACAUUGAGUGCACCUACCAUGAGGGAGUGAGUGAACCACCACAUAGAGAGAGAGAGAUAGUUGAUAGGUCACGUGAGGCCACUUUCAACACUAACGACUUGACCUCUACCUCUAUUGUGUCUUCUCAUUUGGUGCCAGGUCCCGUAUAUGAUGACGCACCGAUUUGUGAUGACUACGUCCUACCUUUGGACAAGACGAUGGCCAUGGUGGAAUAUGAUGCACCCCCCACAUGGUUCCAUCAUGAUGAUGAUCUUGACCACCAUUUGGUCUUACCCACCUCACCUACACCACUAGAGUGGAAUGAACAAGGUAACAUAGGUGAAGGUGAUUCUCUAGUCUCACUAGUGGACAUUCUUGACAUUGAUUGCUUGCAUGAUGUUGAUCCACCUAUUUCCAUGAUUCAUGCUAGUGCGUCUUCCUCAUGUGAUGAUUUCUUGCCCAUUUACGAUGAGUAUGAUGAUUCUCAUGUGGAGUCUUUUAGUUGUGAUGCCAUGUUACAUAGGAUUUCUUGUGACUAUUCCUUAGGUCACAUCAUGUUUGCCAAUCCGCUUGACUUGCCAUAUGCUAUGCAUGAGAUCAAUCAUAUGCCAUAUUUGCAAUUUCUUCGUAGUGACUAUGCAUAUGCUAUAAACCCAAUUUACACAUAUGGCAUAGAUGACAAGCCCAUGGUUAUUGGCAUUUGUUUCUCUUGUGAUGAUAUUGAUAUGCUCCCUUUGCAUCAUUUAUCUCAUAUGCCAUGCCAUGACCACCUAGCCUCGGAUAUACAUUGUUUUGAAUGUUGUCCAUUUUCUCCAUAUGAUGUUUCCAAUAUUGCUCACGAGGAGACCCCCAUAGUUUCCUCAUACAUGUUUGGAGAUUUUGAUUCGUCCCAUUCGUUGCAUGAUCCCAAUACUUGUGUGCACAAUAUGCUCCCCAUGAAUAAAAAUGCUAUUGUUGUGCCACACACUUGCUAUACUUGUAUGCUCAAUUUGCGUCCCCAUCGUGUUAUACAUAACAACUAUUUUUCCAUGAUGGAUGACAUGUUCUUAUACCAUGCAUCAAAUUUCUUUGAGCAAUGCUUACCUUGUGCUAACUCACACGUGCACAUACACAUCAUUAUGGAUGAUGUGUACAUUUACCACACACACAAUUUCUUUGGUCUGUGUUUCUUUUGUGUAGGUGCCCAUGAAUACUUGUCAACCUCGCAAUCCCACGAAUUGACAAAAAGAGCUCUAGAGAGCAACGAUGACUUGGGAUCCCAUGGAUUGUCUUUCCCACCGCUCUAUUCGCGCAAAGACUUCACGCAUUUCUUCUACAUGACCCUCACUUGGCUAUGGGUUAUUGUCCAUUACAUAUUAUAUGCCCAUCUUGCCAUGUUCACUUUGCAUGAUAUGUUCAUUCCUAUAGCUUUGACAUACAUUUGUGACCCAUGCUUUGCAUUACACAUGAUGAUUGAUUCUAGUACUUGUAUGCGUAGUUGCAUGCUUGGUGGAGAUAUUGCUUGCUAUUGCCAUGUUUGCUUUGUUCCCCAUACCUAUGAUGAUACUAUGAUAUUGCUUUGUGUUUGUGCUUGCGAUAUGUCAUGUGCAUUGCCUAUGCCUAUUAUUUGCUCACAUGACAUGAUCACCAUGAUUUCCUCUAGUAUGUUGCAUCUUUGCACUACUAGCUUGCACGACUUGAUUCCUAUGAUUGCUUAUGUUGCACCACUGAUGAUUCAUACUUGCUCAUUUCAUGCGGCUGAUGACAACCAUCUACAUGCUUUGCACAUGAUUAUUAUUGCUUGCCGUCAUAUAUCUCCAUAUGUUGCUUCUCUCAUGCUAGAUGAUUUGCCAUGUAUUGAGCGCAACCAUGAUUUUCGUCUUGCUAAUGAGAUUGCCCCCAUAGCAUUCUCACAUAAGUUUGGAGAUUUUGACAUAUUCCUUGUGAAGCAUGCUUGUCUUGCCUCUUUGCACCAUAUACCUAGUGCCAUGAAUAUAGCCAUUAUUGGACCAUCUUAUUCAUGCACUUGUGCUACUAAUGGUUAUGUGUAAGAGCAGAGAACCAUCAUGAUGGACGAUGUGUUUAUCUACCAUGCGCAUACAUUCUUUGGUUUGUUUUUUGCAUGUGUAGGAAACUUGGACUUUGUGUCAACUUCCACGUCACAUGAGUUGACAAUCAGAGCUCUUGAGAGCGAACCACCUUCUACCAUGGAGCUUCUACAUCAUACUUGCUUGUGCUUCGGCAUUGUGAAGGACGCACCAGGACAUGCUUUCAAGGUGAUAUCCUUCUUUUUUAAGAACCCCCAAACCAUGAGCAUGCAUAUUGUGGAUCAUACUACUUGUGUUGCUUGCCAGAUGAGACUUAUUUGUCAUGUUGGACCCUUUGCUUGCACACAUGUUAGUGAUAUUGCCUCCAUUCAUGAUUUUCACAUUCCCAUGCAUCAUGAUAUAUAUGCCUUGUGUGUUGCAUCCAAUUCUUGGAUUACUUGCUCCUCUCAUAUGUUUGGUUGCAACAAUGUCAUCACUUCACAUAUGCCAUGUCCCAUUGAUUGCUAUAUGCUUGCCUUCAUUGCCUCACACACGACGAACAAUUGCUCUUUCCAUUGUGUUGAGUGCCACACGAUAUUCACUACACCCCAUGCACAUUAUGCUUGGAUUGUCUUGCACUUGACCCAUGUGUUUAGACACUUCAUUUUAUUUGGUGUUGUAAAUGAUUCGUAUGCCUACCAUUGACCUUUCAUUGAGCGCUUUGCCCAUGCUUGCUAUGACUUUGAGGUAGAUGAUUAUUCUUUUGUUACACAUAUUUGCAUCACUACCUCACAUUUACAUGCUUGUCCCCAUGAUAUCUUUGCUUGUGCUCGAUUGAUAUGCUUACACGCCAUGUCACAAUCCCUUAUCACACCAUAUGCUUUGCAUGAUGACAACACUUGUUUGGUCACUCACCUCUUGAAUGCUUGGUUUCGCACUAACACUAACCACAUUUGUUUUUCCAAGUGUUUGUUAUCCUUACUCCUUUUGAAGGAACCACAAGAUGGUGCGACAUUGGAGAGUGCUCAUUUCGAGGUUCAAGAUGACAAGUACUUGGUGAACGUCCACUUCUACAUGGCGAAGCCAUCUCUUUCCCAUGGUGAUUUGGUUUUCGAUGUGAGGUCGGAUCUUUCCCAAGGGAGGGGAGAUGAUGCGGAGCAUCCUAUGGACAUCACCAUGUCAAGAGUCCGUUCAGUGGGUGACACGUGCGACAUCUACUUCACAUACACAAAGGUGAAUCAUCUCCUAUACACGUGCUCACUUGACCCCUUCGAGGAUAGUAUACUACUUGACACUCCACUCGUGUGCAUGCAUAGGUAUUGUCGGAACACUACGGACGACGAGGAGGAGUGCAAGCGCCAAGGAACAACUACACCAUCCGUGAGGGAAGCCUGGAAGCGACAACAAAAGAAGACGGAGCUGCUGAAGCUACAGCGGUCGGACAUCCGGGCCAGAGGCCGGACAUCCAGCGCCUGUGCAGCCGCCCAACUGCUGCACCAACAGUCGACCGAACAAGCCUCGGCGGCCGGACAUCCGGCGCCUCCCGACAGCCCGGACAUCCGGCAUCUCCCCCGGAAAUCCGGCACUGAUGUAUCAAGAGAGCAGCUGAACCUCCACUUCAGCCCAGACAUCUGGCCGUGACCUCGGACAUCCGCUCGUCCCGAAGCCCCGGACAUCCGCCCCCAGCCCGGACGUCCGGCACCUGCGCGUGCCUAACCGGUCCAAAGGCCCAUGUAUCCCCUCCUCACGUACCCCUUCGUGGCUCUACACUAUAUAUACUCCUCCACCUCCUUCUAGUUAGGGUCAGCAUUGUGUUAGCUCAUUUGUGAGAUAGAGCUUCGCUCAUCCAUAUCGGAUCUACUCCUUGAGAGAGACCGCGGCCCCUCUUCGUAGAAGAUCCACCUUGGAUUCAAGACCCCUUUACGGGAAGAUCCCCUUGAGGAUUCAAGACCUCCUCACGGAGAAGAACCGGCUACCCUUUGUAUCGUCCCUUGUUGAUCGUGGAUCAUGUAUCUCCCUUUGUGUUCAUGGAUCUAGCACAUGUGUGAUCAUUCUUGUUGGUUUGAGUGAUUCUCUUUGUGCCCCUUGUGAUUUCCCCUCGUGUUUCCCCUCGUAUUCUUUGUGUUCGUUGCGGGAUCCGCUCCUUUCGUGAAAGAUCGGCCCCUAGGGUUUCCACCCUACAUCAGACGGUGACCGGCCCUAACACAAACUAGGAGGAAUCCAUUCAUGGCUAACACAUACCCCUCGUUAUCGGUCAAAGAGAUGAUAUAUAUACACUUAGGGAGCCCACAGAUAUGUGUGUCAUCACAAAAAACCGCACAAGGGAGACGUGGUCGAUCAGAAGACCCCGUAUACACAUCAUGUGGCCCGAAAAUAUGUAUGGGUAUGACGGUGUGUGAUGUGUUUAAAUCCCGAAUGCACAACUUCGAUGGGCCACCAUCUACAUUACAAAACGAACACUAUACCCGACUNNNNNNNNNNNNNNNNNNNNNNNNNNNNNNNNNNNNNNNNNNNNNNNNNNNNNNNNNNNNNNNNNNNNNNNNNNNNNNNNNNNNNNNNNNNNNNNNNNNNNNNNNNNNNNNNNNNNNNNNNNNNNNNNNNNNNNNNNNNNNNNNNNNNNNNNNNNNNNNNNNNNNNNNNNNNNNNNNNNNNNNNNNNNNNNNNNNNNNNNNNNNNNNNNNNNNNNNNNNNNNNNNNNNNNNNNNNNNNNNNNNNNNNNNNNNNNNNNNNNNNNNNNNNNNNNNNNNNNNNNNNNNNNNNNNNNNNNNNNNNNNNNNNNNNNNNNNNNNNNNNNNNNNNNNNNNNNNNNNNNNNNNNNNNNNNNNNNNNNNNNNCCACGCAUGCGCUCAAACUCUAUUUGGUCUAGUAUGACACACAUUUAUUUACCCCAAUGUAGUGUGCAAAUAACUUUGAAAGUUGGUCGUUUGAUGAAGCCAAUCGGAUGGUACAAAGAUGGCAAAUCUGAGCACUAUUGGCCGUUGGAUAUCAUUGAUACGUCCAUUUUGCAUCAUGUUUUCUUAUUAUUAUUUAUAAUGUUUUUAUCCAUAAUAAUGCUUUUUGGAGUAAUUCUAAUGCCUUUUCUCUCAUACUACGCAAGGUAUACACAAAGAGGGAGAAUUUCGGCAGAUGGAAAUCUAGACCUAGAAAAGCUACGUCAGGCCACCUAUUCUACACAACUCCAAACAAGCUGAAACUUCAUGGAUAUUUUUUAUGGAUUAUUGGAGCAAAUAACUACCAGAGGGGGCCCACCAGGUGGGCACAACCCACAUAGGCGCGCUAGUGAGCCCAGGCGCGCCCUGGUGGGUUGUGCCCUCCUCGGCCCACCUCCGAUGCCCAUAUUUUGGUAUGUAAGUCAUUUUGAACUAGAAAAAUAAGGGGAGGACUUUCAGGAUGAAGCGCCGCCUCCUCGAGGCGGAACUUGGGUAGGAGCACUUUUGCCCUCCGGUGGAGCGAUUCCGCCGGGGGAACUUCCCUCCCGGAGGGGGAAAUCAUCGUCAUCAUCAUCAGAAACAACUCUCCCAUCUUGGGAAGGGCAAUCUCCAUCAACAUCUUCAACAACACCAUCUCCUCUCAAACCCUAGUUCAUCUCUUGUGUUCAAUCUUGUUACCGGAACUACAGGUUGGUGCUUGUGGGUGACUAGUAGUGUUGAUUACAUCUUGUAGUUGAUUACUAUAUGGUUUAUUUGGUGGAGGAUUAUAUGUUCAGAUCCAAUAUGCUAUUUAAUACUCCUCUGAUCAUGAGCAUGUUUAUCAUUUGUGAGUAGUUACCUUUGUUAUUGAGGUCACGGGAGAAAUCAUGUUGCAAGUAAUCAUGUGAAUUUGAUAUGUGUUCGAUAUUUUGAUAGUAUGUAUGUUGUGAUUCACUCAGUGGUGUCAUGUGAACGUCGACUACAUGAGACUUCAUCUUAUUUGGGCCUAAGUGAAUGCAUUGUGGAGUAUCAAUUAGAUGAUGGGUUGCGAGAGUGAAAGAAGCUUAAACCCCAGUUUAUGCGCUAUUCCGUAAGGGACCGAUUGGAUCCAAAAGUUUAAUGCUAUGGUUAGAAUUUAUUCUUAAUACUUUUCUCGUAGUUGCGGAUGCUUGCGGGAGGGUUAAUCAUAAGUAGGAGGUUUGUUCAAGUAAGAACAUCACCUAAGCACCGGUCCACCCACAUAUCAAAUUAUCAAAGUAGCGAACACGAAUUAAACCAACAUGAUGAAAGUGACUAGAUGAAAUUCCCGUGUACCCUCAAGAACGCUUUGCUUAUCAUAAGAAACCGUUUUGGCCUGUCCUUUGCCUCAAAAGGAUUGGGCUCCCUUGCUGCACCUUUGUUACAACUAUUGUUUCUUGCUCAUUACAAAUUAUCUUGUUAUCAAACUACUCCGCUACUUACAAUUUUAGCACUUGCAGACAUUACCUUACUAAAAACUACUUGACAUUUGCUUCUGCUCCUCGUUUGGUUCGACACACUUACUUAUCGAAAACAGCUACAAUUGAUCCCCUAUACUUGUGGGUCAUCAAGGCUAUUUUUUGGCGCCGUUGCCUGGGAGUAGCGCCUUUGGUAAGUGGAAUUUGGUAAGGAAACAUUUAUAUAGUGUUAUAAAAUUUAUUGUCACUUCUUACUAUGGAAAACAAUCCUUUGAGGGGUUUGUUCGGGGUAUCUUCACCUCGUCCGGAACCACAAUUAGCUACCCCUCAACCUACUGCACCUACUGAAAAUAUUGAAUAUGAAAUUCCUUCGAGUAUGAUAGAACAAGUGCAACCUAAUCCUUAUGUAGGAGAUGGAACCGAACAUCCUGAUAUGCACUUAAUAUAUGUGGAACAAAUUUGUGGAUUGUUUAAGCUCGCAGGUUUACCCAGAGAUGAAGUUAUGAGAAAGGUUUUCCCUUUAUCUUUGAAGGGAAAAGCAUUGUCAUGGUAUAGGAUAUGCGAUGAUAUUGGAUCAUGGAAUUGGAAUCGUUUGAAAUUGGAGUAACACCAAAAAAAAUUAUCCUAUGCAUCUAGUUCAUCGUGAUCGGGAUUAUAUAUAUAAUUUUUGGCCUCUUGAAGGAGAAAGUAUUGCUCUAGCUUGGGGGAGGCUUAAGUCAAUGUUAUAUUCAUGCCCCAAUCAUGAUCUCUCAAGAGAAAUUAUUAUCCAGAACUUUUAUGCUCGGCUUUCUCGUAAUGAUCAAACCAUGUUGAUACUUCUUGUGCGGGUUCUUUUAUGAAGAAGACUAUUGAAUUCUGGUGGGAUAUUUUGGAAAGAAUUAAACGCAACUCUGAAGAUUGGGAACUCGACAAAGGUAAAGAGUUAGGUAUUAAAAUUAAGUAUGAUUGUGUUAAAUCUUUUAUGGAUACCGAUGCUUUUUAAAAGUUUAGCACUAAAGAUGGGCUUAACUCUGAGAUAGUGGCCUCCUUUUGUGAAUAAUUUGCUACUCAUGUGAAACUCCCUAAAGAGAAGUGGUUUAAAUAUCACCCACCUAUUAAAGAAGAAACUAAAGAACAAGUACCAGUUAAAGAAGAAACUAUACUUCACAAUGUUGAUCCAGUUGUUCCUUCUGCUUAUAUUGAGAAACCACCUUUCCCUGUUAGGAUAAAGGAGGAUGCUAAAGUUUCAACUGUGAUUAACAAAACCUAUAUUAGAACACCUAGACCCGAUGAACCAAUUAAAGUAGAACCUAGUAUUGCUAUGGUUAAAGAUAUCUUAGGAGAAGAUAUGGAUGGACAUGUUAUUUACUUCUGUGAAGAAGCUGCUAGAAUUGCCAAACCUAAUAAAAAGGAUAAACAUAGACCUGUUGUUGGCAUGCCCAUCAUAUCAGUUAAAAUAGGAGAUCACUGUUAUCAUGGUUUAUGUGACAUAGGUGCUAGUGUGAGUGCUAUUCCUUACACCUUAUAUCAAGAAAUUAUGAAUGACAUAUCACCCACAGAAAUAGAAGAAAUAGAUGUUACUAUUAAAAUUGCUAAUAGAGACACUAUAUCACCAAUUGGGAUUGUUAGAGAUGUUGAUGUCUUGUGUGGGAAAAUAAAAUACCCUACUGAUUUUCUUGUUCUUGGUUCCCCACAAGAUGACUUUUGUCCCAUUAUCUUUGGUAGACCUUUCUUGAACAUCGUUACUGCUAGAAUAGAUUGUGAGAAACAAACUGUCAGUGUUAGUUUUGGCACUGAGUCUCAGGAGUUUAAUUUUUCCAAGUUUAGUAGAAAUCUUCAUGAAAAAGAAUUGCCUAGUAAGGAUGAAUUAAUUGGUCUUGCUUCUAUUGAUGUACCUCCUACAGAUCCUUUAGAACAAUAUUUGCUAGAUCAUGAGGAUGAUUACAUAUGGAUGAAAGAAAUGAAAUAGAUAAAAUUUUCUUUGCACAACGUCCUCUACUUAAGCACAAUUUUCCUGUUGAAACUCUAGGAGGCCCUCCUCCACCUAAAGGUGAUCCUGUGUUUGAAUUAAAACUACGGGAUUUCAGUUUCCGACAAAACCCUGGAGGUUUGAACACUGGGGUGCGCGUGAAGAUCUUUCCCCCCAGCUCAUGCUCUCGCAACGAUCUCAAAACCUAACUUGCCCAACCCGAAGAACAAGGGACACAAGAGUUUAUACUGGUUCGGGCCAACAAUGUGGUGUAAUACCCUACUCCAGUGUGGUGUGGUGGAUUGCCUUGUAGGCUAAGGAUGAACAGAACAACCUCAUGAGGAGAGGUGUUCUUGAGCUCGGUGAGCUUGUGUGGUUGAGGAUGAUCUGGAUGAUCCGUCCCUGCCUAUGGUGGUGGCUAGUCCUAUUUAUAGAGGCCCUGGUCCUCUUCCCAAAUAUCAGGCGGGAAGGGAUCUCACAAUGAGCAAUUUGAAGGGGGACAACUAGUACAAGCUAUCCUGACAAAAUGUGGUCUUCGCCUGCCAAAGGCUCUGGUGGUGACGCCGUCAUGGGCUCCGUGAUGACCUCCAUCCUGUCAUCCUGCUAGUCUUGGUCUUGUUGCACCGAUAUGGAAACCUUUGCCUGAUGCCUCGGGACUCCUCGCCUGCGCCUGCCCCUUUAGCACCAAAGAGGCAACUGGUGCUCUACCCCCGCAGGCGCUCGCCUGGCACCCGCCUGGCCUUGGUCGACAUGGCUCACGUCACGGAACCUCACGAGGUGCCCCUCACCUUGGCCUCUCUGCUCCUCGCAAGCCAGCCUAGCAAGGCUGCCCCUGAGGAGGUCUUGUGUCAUCCGCCUCGCGAGGCUUGGCCCCUCGCGAGGGUCUUGAGUGUUUGCUGGUGAAUAUGGGCCAUACCAGGCCGCUAGAGGAGCCACGCCAUGGGCCGCAGGUAGGCAAGUCUGGGGACCCCCAUUCCCAGAAUGCCGAUAGUAGCCCCCGGGCCCAAGGCGCGCUCAGACUUGGCUUCGAGGCGAUGCCAAGGGGCAAGGGCGGAGCGCCAUGGGCCCCAACCGCAUGCGGCCUUGGUUGAUGCGUGGCGAGUGACAGGACAUGGGCAUCUCCGCUUCCCCAUGCUGCCUCGGCAACUGCCCGACUUGACGAGUCCCUGGUGCAUGCAGAAAAUGUUGGGUUCUACGGAAGGGUAAGUCGACUGCAAAUUAAAAUUUCCUACGCACAGAACAACCAAGAACAUGCUAUGGGAGAUGGAUCACAGUUCGUUACCACUAGACGCGCAGUGCUUGCAGCGGAAGAAGAGUUAGGGCAGCGCGUCCGCGUGGAUUGUCUCCUCCUUGUUCGAUCUCCCUAGAACAUCCGGUCGUCGGUUCACACGUGCAGGUUCGCCGAAGUGGCGCAAGUGCACCGCCUCUAAUGGUAUCUGUGCAUGCAAGAGGAACAUUGUGCGGCGGACUGCUAGGUUCGAUCAGACAACCGGCGGUGAGUGGAGGUGUCUAUUCGCAACACAUGCAAACCCUAGUGACAGCGCCGAAGCGAUCAACCGCAUGAGUGUGCCGCACCCCACUUUAUAUAGGCAUCCAUCGCGGGCUCAACACUUGGGCCUCGCACGGACCCUAAAACCCAUAAGUCUACUCGGCCAAAAUCGGAAUACAGCUCGGAUCACAUCCGACCAGUGUCCCUGGAUCCGACCUCAUAGGUUCCUUCCCUUAAGCACGCGACCCCUUAGGUUCAAGCCGGCUUGGUCGUAGUUCGGAUCACCUCCGAACUACAUAGUUGGUAGCGGCCAUUCCAGUGAUGGCGACCACAAACUGGAUUAUCUCAUAAUCCAUGUUGCAUGGCCAUGCUUAUCCUGGUUGGAUCACACGAGGGGCCUAGAGCAUAUCUCUCCUGAUCAGAGGGGAAAAUCCCAUUUGCUCAACCAUGUCUCGCAGCAUGGGUCUGGACAAGCCCGAAACCUACCUUUGUAACUACCCAGUCAUGGAGUAGCGUUUGGUUGGCCCAAAGCAAGUCUGUCACCAUCCCGAGUACAUGUGCCAGCUCAGGUCUUAGGACAUAGAACAUAUGCUGUACUAGAGACUCACAUAUGCCAUAUCGCCGCAUCUCAUAGUUGGGUCUGUCCGACUCAAACUUAUUUCAACUCGGAUCCGACUACGUCGAAUCUGACCAGAUCCUUCUAAGUCCAUAUUAUCCGGUUAACAUCCAAUGCACCAUGGCUAAUGAGACCAAGCCAUCGAUCGUGUCAUAUGCUAGUCUAGUCUGCUGCGCGUCCACACAUCCCUUUCGACUAGGGACCUUUUAGGACGUUCAUCAUACAAUGCAUAGUCCCACAAACAUUUCACGUACUUGCUGAUACACAUCAUUGAUAAUGUCCAAGGACUAUCUUUAUUCAUAAACACAUAGGAAAUAUCAUCAUACAUGAUUGCCUCUAGGGCAUAUCUCCAACAGUCUCCCACUUGCACUAGAGUCAAUCAAAUAUACAUCGAAUGACCAUAGCUCUAACGUGCCCCUCGUGCUUGGAUUGUGGAAGCGGCUUAGUGAAUGGAUCUGCAACAUUUGCAUCCAUGUGAAUUUUGCAUAACUCAAUAUCACCAUUCUUUAUGAUCUUUCGUAUCAGGUGAUAUUUCCGAUCUAUGUGUCUGGUCUUGUGGUGAUCCCUCGGCUCCUUGGCUUGUGUGAUGGCACCACAAUUAUCACAAUAAAGGUCCAACAGUUUUAACGAGGCUGGGAAAAUACCAAGAUCAUCCAGAAAGUUCCGGAUCCAAACACCUUCCUUUACAGCUUCACAAGCCGAAAUGUACUCGGCUUCUGUGGUAGAGUCGGCCACCGUAUCUUGCUUGGAACUCAUCUAGCUCACUGCUCCUCCGUUCAUGACAUACACGAAUCCAGACAGUGAUCAACAAUCAUGUCUGUCGGUUUAGAAAGUAGCAUCGGCAUAACCCCUUACGACAAGCUUUUCCUCACCUCCAUAAACUAGGAACAUCUCUUUAGUCCUUUUCAGUUACUUCAAAAUAGUCCUUACUGCUGCCCAGUGACUCUCACCUAGGUUGGCCUGGUAUCUGCUUGUUAGGCUUAUUGCAAAAGCAACAUCAGGCCGUGUACAUAUCAUGGCAUACAUGAUGGAUCCAAUUGCCGAGGCAUACGGAAUCCGACUCAUCCUGCUUCGCUCAUCAGAUGUUGAAGGACUCUGAGUCUCGCUUAGCCUUAUACCAUGUGAGACAGGCAAGAACCCUUUCUUGGUCUCACUCAUGUUGAACCGCUUCAACACUUUUAUCUAUGUACGUGCUUUGGCUCAAGCCGAGCAGCCUCCUCGAUCUAUCUCUAUAGAUCUUGAUGCCUAAAAUGUAAACUGCCUCACCAAGGUCCUUCAUUGAAAACUUGCCAUUCAAUGAUUCCUUGACCGAGUUCAGCAUCAAAACAUCAUUUCCGAUCAGUAGUAUGUCAUCCACAUACAAGAUCAAAAACACAAUCGAGAUCCCACUUAACUGCUUGUAUAAACAAGCGUCCUCAUCGCUUUUGCUGAAACCAAGACCAAUGACAACCUCAUCAAAACGAAUGUUCCAACUCCGAGAUGCUUGCCUCAACCCAUAAAUGUAUCUCUUGAGCUUGCAUACUUUACUAGUGCUAGUCGGAUUGACAAAACCCUAGGGCUGUAUCAUAUACACGUCCUCAGUUAAAUUUCCGUGAAGGAAAUCCAUUUUGACAUCCAUCUGCUAUAUCUGGUAAUCGAAAUAUGCAGCUAUAGCUAGUACGAUCCUCACAGACUUCAGCUUCCCUACCAGCGAGUAAGUAUUGUCGUAGUCAAUUCCAUGAACUUGUCCAUAACCUCUAGCGACAAGCCGAGCUUUGUGGAUCUGAACAUUUCCAUCCACAUCGGUUUUCUUCUUAAAGACCCAUUUGCAGCCAAUGGCCUUUACACCAGGCGUCGGAUCAACCAAGUCCCAUACUUGAUUUUCAUCCAUGGACUUUAACUCGGAUCUCAUGGCCCCCAGCCAUGCCUCGGAAUCCGGGCUCGCCAUCGCUUUCGCAUAUGUGGCUGGCUCGUCGCUUUGCAGCCACAAUACAUCAUGCACUCUGCGCAAUCUUUCCGACCUCCAUGGUUCCGGUGCCGCUUCCACUACGGGUUCCUUGACUGACUCCGGUAUGAUCUCAUCACUCGCCGAGCCAUCCCCGAGUGGUACUCGAAUUUCUUCGAGUCGGAGUGUCCUCCCACUGGCCUCCCGACUGAGAAAUGUUGGAAAUAUGCCCUAGAGGCAAUAAUAAAAUGGUUCUUAUUAUAUUUCUUUGUUCAUGAUAAUUGUCUAUUGUUCAUGCUAUAAUUGUGUUAUCCGGAAAUCGUAAUACAUAUGUGAAUACAUAGACCACAACACAUCCCUAGUGAGCCUCUAGUUGACUAGCUCGUUCAUCAAAAGAUGGUCAUGGUUUCCUGACUAUGGACAUUGGAUGUCAUUGAUAACGGGAUCACAUAAUUAGGAGAAUGAUGUGAUGGACAAGACCCAAUCCUAAGCAUAGCUCAAAGAUCGUGUAGUUCAUUUGCUAUAGCUUUUCCGAAUGUCAAGUAUCAUUUCCUUAGACCAUGAGAUUGUGCAACUCCCGGAUACCGUAGGAGUGCCUUGGGUGUGCCAAACGUCACAACGUAACUGGGUGACUAUAAAGGUACACUACAGGUAUCUCCGAAAGUGUCUAUUGGGUUGGCACGAAUCAAGACUGGGAUUUGUCACUCCUUAUGACGGAGAGGUAUCUUUGGGCCCACUCGGUAAUGCAUCAUCAUAAUGAGCUCAAUGUGACCAAGUGGUUGAACACGGGAUCAUGCAUUACGGUACGACUAAAGUGACUUGUCGGUAACGAGAUUGAACGAGGUAUUGGGAUACCGACGAUCGAGUCUCGGGCAAGUAACGUACCGAUUGACAAAGGGAAUAGUAUACGGAUUGAUUGAAUCCUCGACAUCAUGGUUCAUCCGAUGAGAUCAUCGAGGAGCAUGUGGGAGCCAACAUGGGUAUCCAGAUCCCACUGUUGGUUAUUGACCGAAGAGUCGUCUAGGUCAUGUCUGCGUGUCUCCCGAACCCGUAGGGUCUACACACUUAAGGUUCGGUGACGCUAGGGUUGUUGAGAUAUUAGUAUACGGUAACCCGAAAGUUGUUCGGAGUCCCGGAUGAGAUACUGGACAUCACGAGGAGUUCCGGAAUGGUCCGGAGGUGAAGAUUUAUAUAUAGGAAGUCAAGUUUCGGCCAUCAGGAAAGUUUCGGGGGUAAUCGGUAUUGUACAGGGACCACCGAAAGGGUCCCGGGGGUCCACCGGGUGGGGACACCUAUCCCGGGGGGACCCAUGGGCUGAAGUGGGAGGGGAACCAGCCCCUAGUGGGCUGGUGCGCCCCCCUUGGGCCUCCCCUGCGCCUAGGGUUGGAAACCCUAGGGGUGGGGGGCGCCCCACUUGCCUUGGGGGGCAAGCUACCCCCUUGGCCGUCGCCCCCCUAGGGACCCUAUAUAUAGUGGGGGGGAGGGAGGGCAGCUGCACCCUAGCCCCUGGCCUCUCCCUCUCCCUCCCGUGACACUCCUCCCUCUCCUUGUGCUUGGUGAAGCCCUACCGAUAUCACCGUUGCUUCCACCACCACGCCGUCAUGCUGCUGGAUCUUCAUCAACCUCUCCUUUCCCCUUGUUGGAUCAAGUUGGAGGAGAUGUCUUCCCAACCUUACGUGUGUUGAACGCGGAGGUGAUGUCCGUUCGGUGCUAGAUCAUCGGUGAUUUGGAUCACGACGAGUACGACUCCAUCAACCCCGUUCUCUUGAACACUUCCGCGCGCGAUCUACAAUGGUAUGUAGAUGCACUCCUUUCUCCCUCGUUGCUAGAUGACUCCAUAGAUUGAUCUUGGUGAUGCGUAGAAAAUUUUAAAAUUCUGCUACGUUCCCCAACAGUGGCAUCAUGAGCUAGGUCUAUGCGUAGUUUCUAUGCACGAGUAGAACAUAAAGCAGUUGUGGGUGUCGAUAUUGUCAAUUUUCUUGCCGUUACUAGUCUUAUCUUGAUUCGGCGGCAUCGUGGGAUGAAGCGGCUCGGACCGACCUUACACAUACGCUUACGUGAGACUGGUUCCAUCGAUUGACAUGCACUAGUUGCAUAAGGUGGCUGGCGGGUGUCUGUCUCUCCCACUUUAGUCGGAUCGGAUUCGAUGAAAAGGGUCCUUAUGAAGGGUAAAUAGAAAUUGUCAUAUCACGUUGUGGUUUUGGCGUAGGUAAGAAACGUUCUUGCUAGAAACCUAUAGCAGCCACGUAAAAACUUGCAACAACAAUUAGAGGACGUCUAACUUGUUUUUGCAGCAUGUGCCGUGUGAUGUGAUAUGGCCAAAAGGAUGUGAUGAGUGAUAUAUGUGAUGUAUGAGAUUGAUCAUGUUCUUGUAAUAGGAAUCACGAUUUGCAUGUCGAUGAGUAUGACAACUGGCAGGAGCCAUAGGAGUUGUCUUUAUUUAUUUAUGACCUACGUGUCAACAUAAACGUCAUGUAAUUACUUUACUUUAUUGCUAAGGCGUUAGCCAUAGUAGUAGAAGUAAUAGAUGACGAGACAACUUCAAGAAGACACAAUGAUGGAGAUCAUGGUGUCAUGCUGGUGACAACGAUGAUCAUGGAGCCCCAAAGAUGGAGAUCAAAAGAAGAAAAUGAUAUUGGCCAUAUCAUGCCACUAUUUGAUUGCAUGUGCUGUUUAUCAUGUUUUACAUCUUAUUUGCUUAGAACGACGGUAGCUUAAAUAAGAUGAUCCCUCGGAAUAACUUCAAGAAAGUGUUCCCCCUAACUGUGCACCGUUGCGAAGGUUUGUUGUUUCGAAGCACCACGUGAUGAUCGGGUGUGAUAGAUUCUAACGUUCGAAUACAACGGGUGUAAGCCAGAUUUACACACGCAAUACACUUAGGUUGACUUGACGAGCCUAGAAUGUACAAACAUGGCCUCGGAACAUAGAAGACAGAAAGGUCGAGCAUGAGUCGUAUAGAAGAUACGAUCAACAUGAAGAUGUUCACCGAUGUUGACUAGUCUGUCUCACGUGAUGAUCGGACACGGCCUAGUUGACUCGGAUCAUGUUUCACUUAGAUGACCAGAGGGAUGUCUAUCUGAGUGGGAGUUCAUUGAAUAAUUUGAUUAGAUGAACUUAAUUAUCAUGAACUUAGUCUAAAAAAUCUUUACACUAUGUCUUGUAGAUCAAAUGGCCCACGCUAAUGUUGCCCUCAACUUCAACGCGUUCCUAGAGAAAACCAAGCUGAAAGAUGAUGGCAGCAACUAUACGGACUGUGUCCGGAACCUGAGGAUCAUCCUCAUAGCUGCCAAGAAAGAUUAUGUCCUAGAAGCACCGCUAGGUGACACACCCAUCCCAGAGAACCAAGACGUUAUGAACGCUUGGCAGUCACGAGCUGAUGAUUACUCCCUCGUUCAGUGCGGCAUGCUUUACAGCUUAGAACGGGGCUCCAAAAGCGUUUUGAGAGACACGGAGCAUAUGAGAUGUUCGAAGAGCUGAAAAUGGUUUUCCAAGCUCAUGCCCGGGUCGAGAGAUAUGAAGUCUCCGACAAGUUCUUCAACUGUAAGAUGGAGGAAAAUAGUUCUGUUAGUGAGCACAUACUCAAAAUGUCUGGGUUGCAUAACCGCUUGACUCAGCUGGGAGUUAAUCUCCCGGAUGACACGAUCAUUGACAGAAUCCUUCAGUCGCUUCCACCGAGCUACUAGAGCUUUGUGAUGAACUUCAAUAUGCAGGGGAUGGAAAAGACCAUUCUUGAGGUAUAUUCAAUGCUGAAAUCAGCAGAGGUGGAAAUCAAAAAGGAACAUCAAGUGUUGAUGGUGAAUAAAACCACUAAGUUCAAUAAAGGCAAGGGUAAGAAGAACUUCAAGAAGGACGGCAAGGGAGUUGCCGCACCCGGUAAGCAAGCUGCCGGGAAGAAGCCAAAGAAUGGACCCAAGCUCGAGACUGAGUGUUUUUAUUGCAAGGGAAGUGGUCACUUGAAGCGGAACUGCCCCAAAUACUUAGCGGACAAGAAGGCCGACAACACUAAAGGUAUAUGUGAUAUACAUGUAAUUGAUGUGUACCUUACCAGUACUCGUAGUAGCUCCUGGGUAUUUGAUACUGGUGCGGUUGCUCACAUUUGUAACUCAAAGCAGGAGCUGCGGAAUAAGCGGAGACUGGCGAAGGACGAGGUGAUGAUGCACGUCGGGAAUGGUUCCAAGGUCGAUGUGAUCGCUGUCAGCACGCUGCCUCUACAUUUACCUAUGGGAUUAGUUUUAAACCUCAAUAAUUGUUAUUUAGUUACAGCUUUGAGCAAGAACAUUAUAUCAGGAUCUCGUUUAAUUCGAGAUGGCUACUCAUUUAAAUCCGAGAAUAAUGGUUGUUCUAUUUAUAUGAGAGAUAUGUUUUAUGGUCAUGCUCCGUUGGUGAAUGGUUUAUUCUUAAUGAAUCUCAAGUGUAAUGUUACACAUAUUCAUAGUGUGAAUACCAAAACAUGUAAGGUUGAUAAUGAUAGUCCCACAUACUUGUGGCACUGCCGCCUUGGUCACAUAGGUGUCAAACGCAUGAAGAAGCUCCAUGUAGAUGGACUUUCGGAGUCUCUUGAUUACGAAUCAUUUGACACGUGCGAACCAUGCCUCAUGGGUAAAAUGACCAAGAGUCCAUUCUCAGGAACAAUGGAGCGAGCAACCAACUUAUUGGAAAUCAUACAUACUGAUGUGUGCGGUCCAAUGAGUGUUGAGGCUCGUGGUGGCUAUCGUUAUGUUCUCACCCUCACUGAUGACUUGAGUAGAUAUGGGUAUGUCUACUUAAUGAAACACAAGUCUGAGACCUUUGAAAAGUUCAAGGAAUUUCAGAGCGAGGUUGAGAAUCAACAUGAUAGAAAAAUCAAGUUCUUGCGAUCAGAUCAUGGGGGAGAAUACUUGAGUCACGAAUUUGGCACACACUUAAGGAAAUGUGGAAUAGUUUCACAACUCACGCCGCCUGGAACACCUCAGCGUAAUGGUGUGUCCGAACGUCGUAAUUGCACUCUAUUGGAUAUGGUGCGAUCUAUGAUGUCUCUUACCGAUUUAGCGCUGUCAUUUUGGGGCUAUGCUUUAGAGACUGCCGCAUUCACUUUAAAUAGGGCUCCGUCGAAAUCCGUUGAGACGACACCGUAUGAAUUAUGGUUUGGGAAGAAACCUAAGCUGUCGUUUCUAAAAGUUUGGGGAUGCGAUGCUUAUGUCAAGAAACUUCAACCUGAAAAGCUCGAACCCAAAUCGGAAAAUGCGUCUUCAUAGGAUACCCUAAAGAAACUAUUGGGUAUACCUUCUACCUCAGAUCCGAAGGCAAGAUCUUUGUUGCCAAGAAUGGAUCCUUUCUAGAGAAAGAGUUUCUCUCGAAAGAAAUAAGUGGGAGGAAAGUAGAACUUGAUGAAGUAUUACCUCUUGAACCGGUAAGUGGCGCAGCUCAAGAAAAUGUUCCUGAGGUGCCUGCACCGACUAGAGAGGAAGUUAAUGAUGGUGAUCAUGAAACUUCAGAUCAAGUUGCUACUGAACUUCGUAGGUCCACAGGGACACGUUACGCACCAGAGUGGUACAUCAAUCCUGUCUUGGAAAUCAUGUUGUUAGACAACGGUGAACCUUCGAACUAUGAAGAAGCGAUGGCGGGCCCGGAUUCCGACAAAUGGUUGGAAGCCAUGAAAACGAAGUAUGGACUUUGACUGACUUGCCUGAUGAUCGGCGAGCCAUAGAAAAUAAAUGGAUCUUUAAGAAGAAGACAGACGCGGAUGGUAACGUAACCAUCUAUAAAGCUCGGCUUGUCGCUAAGGGUUAUUGACAAGUUCAAGGGGUUGACUACGAUGAGACUUUCUCACCCGUAGCGAAGCUGAAGUCCGUCCGAAUCAUGUUAGCAAUUGCCGCAUUCUAUGAUUAUGAGAUAUGGCAAAUGGACGUCAAAACGGCAUUCCUUAAUGGUUUCCUUAAGGAAGAAUUGUAUAUGAUGCAGCCGGAAGGUUUUGUCGAUCCUAAGAAUGCUGACAAGGUGUGCAAGCUCCAACACUCGAUUUAUGGGCUGGUGCAAGCAUCUCGGAGUUGGAACAUUCAUUUUGAUGAGAUGAUCAAAGUGUUUGGGUUUAUGCAGACUUAUGGAGAAGCCUGUAUUUACAAGAAAGUGAGUGGGAGCUCUGUAGCAUUUCUCAUAUUGUAUGUGGAUGACAUACUGUUGAUGGGAAAUGAUAUAGAAUUCUUGGAAGGCAUAAGGGCCUACUUGAACAAGUGUUUUUCAAUGAAGGAUCUUGGAGAAGCUGCUUAUAUAUUAGGCAUCAAGAUCUAUAGAGAUAGAUCGAGAUGCCUCAUUGGUCUUUCACAGAGUAUGUACCUUGACAAGAUAUUGAAGAAGUUCAAAAUGGAUCAGUCAAAGAAGGGGUUCUUGCCUGUAUUGCAAGGUACGAGAUUGAGCACGUCUCAAUGCCCGGCCACGGCAGAAGAUAGAGAAAUGAUGAGUGUCGUCCCCUAUGCCUCAGCCAUAGGGUCUAUCAUGUAUGCUAUGUUGUGUACCAGACCUGAUGUAAACCUUGCCGUAAGUUUGGUAGGACGGUACCAAAGUAAUCCCGGCAUGGAACACUGGACAACAGUCAAGAAUAUCCUGAAGUACCUGAAAAGGACUAAGGAUAUGUUUCUCGUUUAUGGAGGUGACGAAGAGCUCGUCGUAAAGGGUUAUGUCGAUGCUAGCUUCGACACAGAUCUGGAUGACUCUAAGUCACAAACUGGAUACGUGUAUAUUUUGAAUGGUGGGGCAGUAAGCUGGUGCAGUUGCAAGCAAAGUGUUGUGGCGGGAUCUACAUGUGAAGCGGAGUACAUGGCAGCCUCGGAGGCAGCACAAGAGGCAAUCUGGGUGAAGGAGUUCAUUACCGACCUAGGAGUCAUACCCAAUGUGUCGGGCCCGAUGACUCUCUUCUGUGACAACACUGGAGCUAUUGCCCUUGCCAAGGAGCCCAGGUUUCACAGGAAGACCAGGCAUAUCAAGCGUCGCUUCAACUCCAUUCGUGAAAGUGUUCAAAAUGGAGACAUAGAUAUUUGUAAAGUACAUACAGACCUGAAUGUGGCAGAUCCGUUGACUAAACCUCUUCCUAGAGCAAAACAUGAUCAACACCAGAACUGCAUGGGUGUUCGAUUCAUCACAAUGUAACUAGACUAUUGACUCUAGUACAAGUGGGAGACUGUUGGAAAUAUGCCCUAGAGGCAGUAAUAAAAUGGUUAUUAUUAUAUUUCUUUGUUCAUGACAAUUGUCUAUUAUUCAUGCUAUAAUUGUGUUAUCCGGAAAUCGUAAUACAUGUGUGAAUACAUAGACCACAACACGUCCCUAGUGAGCCUCUAGUUGACUAGCUCGUUGAUCAAAAGAUGGUCAUGGUUUCCUGACUAUGGACAUUGGAUGUCAUUGAUAACGGGAUCACAUCAUUAGGACAAUGAUGUGAUGGACAAGACCCAAUCCUAAUCAUAGCUCAAAGAUCGUGUAGUUCGUUUGCUAUAGCUUUUUCGAAUGUCAAGUAUCAUUUCCUUAUACCAUGAGAUUGUGCAACUCCCGGAUACUAUAGGAGUGCCUUGGGUGUGCCAAACGUCACAACGUAACUGGGUGACUAUAAAGGUACACUACAGGUAUCUCCGAAAGUGUUUGUUGGGUUGGCAUGAAUUGAGACUGGGAUUUGUCACUCCGUAUGACGGAGAGGUAUCUCUGGGCCCACUCGGUAAUGCAUCAUCAUAAUGAGCUCAAUGUGACCAAGUGGUUGAUCACGGGAUCAUGCAUUAUGGUACGAGUAAAGUGACUUGCCGGCAACGAGAUUGAACGAGGUAUUGGGAUACCGACGAUCGAGUCUCGGGCAAGUAACGUACCGAUUGACAAAGGGAAUAGUAUACAGAUUGAUUGAAUCCUCGACAUCGUGGUUCAUCCGAUGAGAUCAUCAAGGAGCAUGUGGGAGCCAACAUGGGUAUCCAGAUCCCGCUGUUGGUUAUUGACCGGAGAGUCGUCCUGGUCAUGUCUGCGUGUCUCCCGAACCCGUAGGGUCUACACACUUAAGGUUCGGUGACGCUAGGGUUGUUGAGAUAUUAGUAUACGGUAACUCGAAAGUUGUUCGGAGUCCCGGAUGAGAUCCCGGACGUCACGAGGAGUUCCGGAAUGGUCCGGAGGUGAAGAUUUAUAUAUAGGAAGUCAAGUUUCGGCCAUCGGGAAAGUUUCGGGGGUAAUCGGUAUUGUACCGGGACCACCGGAAGGGUCCCGGGGGUCCACCGGGUGGGGCCACCUAUCCCGGAGGGCCCCAUGGGCUGAAGUAGGAGGGGAACCAGCCCUUAGUGGGCUGGUGCACCCCCCUUGGGCUUCCCCUGCGCCUAGAGUUGGAAACCCUAGGGGUGGGGGGCGCCCCACUUGCUUUGGGGGGCAAGCCACCCCCUUUCCCCCCCUUGGAGAUUGGAUCUCCUAGGGCCGGCGCCCCCCUAGGGAACCUAUAUAUAGUGGGGGGGGGGGAGGAAGGGCAGCCGCACCCUAGCCCCUGGCCUCUCCCUCUCCCUCCCGUGACACUCCUCCCUCUCCCUGUGCUUGGCGAAGCCCUGCCGAGAUCACCGUUGCUUCCACCACCACGCCGUCGUGCUUCUGGAUCUUCAUCAACCUCUCCUUUCCCCUUGAUGGAUCAAGUUGGAGGAGACGUCUUCCCAACCGUACGUGUGUUGAACGCGGAGGUGCCGUCCGUUCGGCGCUAGGUCAUUAGUGAUUUGGAUCACAACGAGUACGACUCCAUCAACCCCGUUCUCUUGAACUCUUCCGCGCGCGAUCUACAAAGGUAUGUAGAUGCACUCCUUUCUCCCUCGUUGCUAGAUGACUCCAUAGAUUGAUCUUGGUGAUGUGUAGAAAAUUUUAAAAUUCUGCUACGUUCCCCAACAAGAAACUCUUUCUCAAGGAAAACCCCAUUCCGAGCAGCAAACACUUUGUUCUCUUCCCGGUUGUAGAAGUUAUAUCCCAAGGUUUCCCUCAGAUAUCCCACGAAUAUGCAUUUGUCUGACUUGGGUGUAAGCUUUUCUGACAUAAGUCGCUUGAUAAAUGCUUCACAACCCCAAAUCUUUAGAAAAGACAAUCUGGGAGUCUUCCCGGUCCACAUCACAUGUGGUGUCUUAUCUACGGAUUUUGAUGGUACCCUGUUAAGUGUGAAAUCUACAGUUUCUAGAGCGUAUCCCUAGAAUGACAAGGGUAAAUCCGAUUUGCUCAUCAUUGAUCGAACCAUGCCUAACAAGGUACGAUUCCUCCGUUCCGAUACGUCAUUUCUCUGUGGCAUACCCGGAGGUGUGAGCUUAGGUACUAUACCUCGGCUUUUCAGAUUAUCAUAAAAUCCUGGCUCAUGUACUCACCUCCACGAUCAGAUCGUAGAAGUUUUAUAGUCUUGCCAAGCGGAUUCUCAACCUCAUUUUGAAACUCUUUGAACUUUUCAAAAGUUUCUGACUUGUGCCUCAUCAAAUAGAUAUAUCCAUAUCUACUCAAGUCAUCGAUAAAAGUGAUGAAGUACCGAUAGCCACCUCUGGCAGUUGUGCUCAUCGGUCCACACACAUCACUGUGUAUCCGUUCCAAUAGCUGGGACACCCUCUCGUAACUCUUUGUGAAAGGAGACAUAGUCAUCUUGCCGAGCAAGCAUGAUUCACAUGUCUCGAACGACCCAAAGUCAGAUGAAGUUAGGAUCCCAUCAUCAUGGAUCUUCUUCAUGCGUUUUAGACUAAUGUGUCCAAGCCGGCUGAGGGAGUCCUAGAUUAGGGGGUCUUCGGAUAGCCGGACUAUAUCCUUUGGCCAGACUGUUGGACUAUGAAGAUACAAGAUUGAAGACUUCGUCCCGUGUCCGGAUGCGACUCUCCUUGGCGUGGAAGGCAAGCUUGGCAGUACGGAUAUGUAAAUCUCCUCCUUUGUAACCGACUCUAUGUAACCCUAGCCCCCUCCGGUGUCUAUAUAAACCGGAGGGUUUAGUCCGUAGGACAAUAUAUAAUCAUACCAUAGGCUAGCUUCUAGGGUUUGGCCUCUACAAUCUCGUGGUAGAUCAACUCUUGUAAUACUCAUAUCAUCAAGAUCAAUCAAGCAGGACGUAGGGUAUUACCUCCAUCAAGAGGGCCCGAACCUGGGUAAACAUCGUGUCCCCUACCUCAUGUUACCAUCCACCUUAGGCGCAUAGUUCGGGACCCCCUACCCGAGAUCCGCCGGUUUUGACACCGACAUUGGUGCUUUCAUUGAGAGUUCCACUGUGUCGUCAUCAUAAGGAGGGGUGGCUCGUCUCGUUGUCAAGAACAACAUCACCUCUGGGGGAGCUUUGGCUGUAGUCCAAACUCUCCGACUAGGCGGCUUCGUCAUGACCGCCCGCUCAGCCGCUGCCCACAGCCCUGGCUGUAGGCCAAACUCUCUGACUAGGUGGCUUCGUCAUGACCGCCCGCUCGGCCGCUGCACCGACGAUGACUUCUCGGGUCAUAGAAAAUAGCCUCCACAUCGGCUCGAAAUUCAUCAAGCAGAUGGAUCUGAUGGAGCUCUCCUCUUUGAACAAGCUCUUGGAUCGUAUCGCUGCUCUGGGAGUCGCUACGGACUACAAUUGGAUUGGGCUUAAACCCGACCAAAGGGAGAUGAACUCUCCGUCGGUCACCCAUCAGAUAGCGGUGGUGGAGGAGCAAUGCGGUGAUUCUUCCUCUAUCCCGAGGACGAACUAUGUCUGGGUCCCCGAGCUCUCCGAGCCGGAUACCCGUCCACGGGAGGACAUCACCCUAACCCUGAACAUAGAAUCAGGCAUCAUGCCGAACCUGCUGGGCAACAUCCCGGAGCCCGAACUUCCAAGAUCGGAAACUCCCUCGCCCCUGGGUCUCAGAUUGGGUCAAGGUCUGGACUUAAAUCCACCCACCCAACCAGAUAUAAACGAUCUUUCCCUCAUUAGGCAAGAGCCCCAAGAAACAGUACAUCACUAUUGGGUCGGAUUCCUCCUUGUAGUGAACAAGGUCAAGGACUGUCGCGAGGAAGACGCAAUUUCGUUCUUUUGCAACAAUUGCACGGACAAGGGAAUCCUCAACGCCAUAAGUCACAAUGACAUAGCACACUUCGCUUACUGGAAAACCCAAACAAAAUUUUGGGAUAAUUCGGCUCUGACAAAACCCCCAGUCCGAACUAAAAGGGCGCACUCUCAUUAGUCGCCCGACUCAAUUACAAAGAAGCAAAAGCCCACUACAGGGCGUGGAACCGUAUUGGAGGGAUGGCUUAACGGGCCCUGCAAAAUUCAUAGUACAAUGGAUACCAUACCAACACAUAGCCUUAGAGCAUGUUGGGUACUCCGGCAGGUGGCCAAGAGCGGUGAGGAUCUCCUCAUUCAAAACACCGCAGAGCACCAUCCUGUGGAUAACAAUACAUUAUUGAUAGUCUUCGAGACCUUUGCCUCAAAUAAUAGGCGUAAGAGAGCACUCCGCAGCCUUGCCGAAGUCUGCCAUGUGGCAGCAAUAAAUCCAUGGAGCGACACGGCUAUCACCUUCAAUGCCAAUGACGAACCUAAAUUCCGAACAGCCCGAGCACCAGUUGCCUUGGUCCUCAGUCCAAUUGUGGACGGCUUUUGGCUUACUAAAGUGCUCAUGGACGGCGGCAGUGGAUUAAACCUCAUUUAUGAGGAGACUAUUCAAAAAAUGGAAAUAGACAGAAACCGUAUUGAGCAAAGCAGCACGACCUUACGGGGAAUCAUCCCCAGUUGCGAGGCACGUUGCCCUGGGAAAUCACACUAGAUGUGGUAUUCGACACUCCGGAGAAUUACAGGUCUGAAGAAAUUACAUUCCAAGUGGCCCCAUUCAGUAGCGGAUACCACACCCUUCUAGGGCGGGAGGCAUUCACGAUCUUCCAAGCCAUACCCCAUUACGGGUACAUGAAUCUCAAAAUGCCCGGACCCAAUGGAAUCAUCACUCUAGCUAGUGAUCGGGACAUAGAACUCCGCACCGAGAACAAAACAGCCGCACUGGUCCUUGAUGCAUUAUCCGAAGCCCUUGCGAUGGAGGAAUUAACUGUGCUGCGCUCCACAGUGGACAGGGACGACGUGAUACUCGACAAAAGAUCCAAGUCCACCUCUUUUAAACCAGCGAUGAAAUAGUCAAAUUCCAAGUCCAUCCAAUGGACCCCCACAAAGACAACAUCCAUCGGGGCACAGUCAAAACCCGCUAUAGACGCCACACUACGGGAGUUCCUGCGCGAAAAUUGAGACAUAUUCUCCUGGCAUCCUUCAGACAUGCCAAGAAUCCCACGCAGGCUGGCCGAGCAUAGCCUUAACAUUCUAAAAGGGUUCAAGCCGGUCAUGCAGACUCUUCGGCGUUUCUCCGAACCUAAGCGACAAGCCAUGGGAGAGGAGCUAGCCAAGUUACUGGAGGCCGGAUUCAUUAUAGAAAUAAAACAUCCGGACUGGCUAGCAAACCUGGUAUGGUACCAAAGAAGGACAAAUCCUGGCGCCUAUGCGUCGACUUCAAGGACCUCAAUAAGUCUUGCCCAAAGGAUCCCUUCCCCCUCCCUCGCAUCGAUCAAAUUAUCGAUGCCACUGCAAGACACGACUCAUUGUGCUUCCUCGACACAUACUCUGGUUACCACCAUAUUAAGAUGGCGGAGUCUGAUCAAGCCGCAACGACAUUUAUCACUCCAUACGGCCCCUUCUGUUUUAACACAAUGCCCUUCGGGCUCAAAAACGCCGGCGCAACGUAUCAACGCAUGAUUUAGGCAUGUCUGGAAAAGCAGAUGGGCAAAACAGUGGAGGCAUACAUAGAUGAUGUGGUCGUUAAAACCAAACACGUCGACUCCCUAAUAGAUGACUUGAGGCUCAUGUUCGACAAUCUCCAAACAUACGACAUUAAGCUCAAUCCGGAAAAAUGCGUUUUCGGCGUACCCGCCGGAAAGCUCCUGGGCUUCAUCGUCUCCAGUAGAGGAAUUGAAGCAAAUCUAGCUAAAAUCCGAGCUCUGUCGCAGUUGGCUAUCCCAAAUGACCUCAAGCAAAUCCAGAAGUUAACUGGAUGUGUGGCGGCCUUAAGCCGCUUUAUCUCCCGAUUAGGAGAAAACACACUCCCCCUUUAUCGCCUUCUUCAGCGCACCAAACACUUCGAGUGGAUGGAUGCUGCCACGGCCGGAUUGGAAGAAAUAAAAGCCAUCCUGGCCACCAACCCAAUCUUGGCCACGCCAAAUGUCGACGAACCAAUGUUGUUAUAUAUAGCGGCAACUCACCAAGUUGUAAGCGCAAUGCUCGUCACCGAAUGAGAGACGGACCGACAUAAAUUCCCACUUCAGAAGUCGGUAUAUUAUGUAUCCACUGUCCUCACUCCAUGCAAAUCACAGUACCCACAUUAUCAAAAGAUAGCAUACGCGGUAUUCAUGGCAUCCCGGAAAUUACGACACUACUUUCAAGAGUGUUCAAUUGCGGUGGCCUCAGAAGUACCACUCAAUGACAUAAUAAACAACCGCGAUGCCACGGGCCGGAUUGCCAAAUGGGCUAUCGAGCUCCUCCCGUUUGACAUAACAUAUAGACCAUGGCAAGCCAAUAAGUCACAAGUACUGGCCGAUUUCUUCGCCGAGUGGACAGUAGCCGAACUCCCUAAAGAGUACGACGCGUAAUCCAAUUGGAUCAUGAAAUUUGACGACUCUAAAAUGCUGGCUGGACUGGGGGCUGGCGUCGUCCUGACGUCCCCCACCGGAGAUACAGUUCAAUAUGUACUCCAAAUACUAUACACAGACUCCAACAACGCAGCCGAAUAGGAGGCCCUAUUACAUGGUCUCCGGAUGGCAGUUUCCAUGGGCAUUCAACGCCUGGAGGUGCGUGGGAACUCGAACCAUGCAAUAUCCCAAAAAAAUGGAGACUUCAAUGCCAAGGAUCCGAAAAUGGCGGCAUAUCGCAACACCAUCCUCAAAAUGUUAGCACGGUUCGAGGGGCUUGAAUUCCACCAUGUGGCUCGGGAAAACAAUCAGGCGACGGAUAUCCUCGCCCGUAUCGGCGCCAAGCGCGAUCCUGUCCCGCCUAACAUCUUCUUGGAAAGGCUGAUUAAGCCAUCCGUGGUAUGGAAAGGGGACACUGGUAAACAUAGUCUGGACCCGGCCACAACACCAGAUACCGAAUACUCUGACACAAUCGGAGGCUCUGCCAUCGAAAUUACACCUUCAGCCCACGUGAUAAUAGCCGUCAUCGCCCCGUGGACAGAACCAUUCCUGGCCUACCUAACUAGGCAGGAACUACCCGGGGACCAAAACGAGGCACGCUGCAUAGUGCGGCGAUCUAAAGCCUACAAGGUCCACGAGGGAGAGCUUUAUAAGAAAAGCACUACCGGAGUCCUUCAAAGGUGCAUCUCCGAAGAGGAAGGCGGAAGCUUUUGGCAGAAAUCCAUGCUGGACUCGGCGGCCACCACGCCGCAGCCCGGGCCCUUGUAAGCAAGGCCUUCCGUACAUGUUUCUAUUGGCCGACGGCCCGAGCAGAUGCACAUGAUUUGGUCCAACGUUGCAUCGAUUGCCAGCUUUUUGCAAACCAAAGCCAUAUGCCGCCUACCACUCUCCAAACAAUCCCCAUUACUUGGCCCUUUGCGGUCUGGGGGCUUGAUAUGGUCGGACCCCUAAAAGGGGGAACCCAUAAGAAAAAAAUACUUACUGGUCAUGGUGGAUAAAUUCACCAAAUGGAUAGAAGCCAAACCUGUUAAAAUGGGUGAAUCCGGACCGGUGAUAGACUUCAUAUCUGGGGUUGUACACCGUUAUGGCACCCCCCACAGCAUCAUCACUGACAAUGACACGAACUUUGCAGCCGACGAGGUAAAACUUUGGUGCAGAAACAUGGGCAUCAAGCUCGAUUAUGCUUCUGUCUAUCACCCGCAAACUAACAGUCAAGUUGAGCAAGAAAAUGGUCUUAUCAUGAGUGGCAUCAAACCCAGAUUAGUGCGGUCCUUAAAGGAAUCAAACACGCACUAGGUAGAGGAGCUCGACUCCGUACUAUGGGGGCUGCGGACCACGCCGAAUCACACGACCGGAUACACACCGUUUUUAUGGUGUACGGCGUAGAGGCGGUUCUGCCUUGCGACAUAAUUCAUGACUCACCUCGAGUGUGCAUGUACGAAUAAAAAGAGGCCGAACUCGAUCGGCAGGACAGUUUGGACGCCCUGGAGGAGGAGCACGACGUGGCAAAAGCCCAUUCCGCAUUCUAUCAGCAACAGGCUCGAAAGUAUUAAAGCAGAGAAGUACGGGCCAAAACCUAUAACGUUGGCGAACUAGUUCUACGCCUGCCGGAGAAGAAAAAGAACAAGCUCAAGCCCAAAUGGGAAGGUCCCUUCAUUAUUGACCAGGUUCUGAUCGGUGGAGCGUACUGUCUGCGGGAUGCAUCGGACAAUUGACUCGAGCCAAACCCAUGGAACGCAGCCAGACUCCAAAGAUUCUACGCCUAGUGCCGGACUCUAUGUUCGUCUCCUUACCCCCGUCAAUUUUUUUUGCAUAUCCGGUAUCUGUCUUUUCUCUCUUUCUUCUUUUUUCUUCUCCUCAAGGCCUUAAAAGGCUAACUUGUGUCUUGACUACACAAUCUUGAUGCGCUAACCGCGCUCAUUAUACCUGGGGGCUUCUUAUACAGAAGCUUAAUAUAACUAUUUUUCUGGGCUUUAUGCCCCACACAUGUGUUAUUCUUCCACAUGUACCUUUUUUGCCAUUAUAUGCAUCGAUAUGACUUAAGUUUUGGCCAAGCUGGGUUGCCUGGCUCUUGUAUUUAUGCCCUACAUUCCCGUUAAUUCGGCUAGUGCAUAAGGGGAGCACCUCUGCAAUUGUUACUGCUAGGUCAGCCGGAUGUGUACCUUAGACUGGGUGAAGCCGAAAGCUAGCGUUCUUAAGGGAAUAUUCGGUAGGUGAACAAAAGAUGACUUUUAUUUAUUUUGAUACAUGCCCCCAGAUGUUUAUAGCAUGCGUCUCUUUUCGCAGUUCGGACAUGCACAUUAGGGCAUCCGUACCCGGGGAAAGGAACCCUUAACGAAACUAUUCUCCCUGGAAGAUGUUUCUUACUAUCCAUGUAAUAUGACAUAGCUAGUUGGGUACUUGUAUGUUCAAGCACUUAUGACCCCUACGCCUGGUUUCCACGCAUACCCCGGUUUUUACAUAACCAAGCGGGUAUUCAGAUACACUCCGGACUAUCGGGUCCAGAGGUCGAAGCAAAAAGGUCCGCCAUGACAAAUGAUUUACAAUCCGGCUAGGGACAUUAUAUAUGUCACUUGAAGUACACAGUCGCUAAGACUGAUUAAAUUCUUCUUCUACACCAUUCAACAUGCUGUCUAGCCUACAAUCCUGUUGGGAAUACUUUGUGGCUAAUUCUACUUGGUCAUACACCAAACUGACGGGGAUCUCUUUCCCAUCGGGCCGCACAGGUCCGACCUCGGCCAUGUGGUUUGGGUCAGCUUUGGUAUAUCACGUCUUCACCAUGGACUAGGCUUCCCUUGCACCUUGUCGGCAGGCUGAUAUCUUCCAUAAUCGGAAGCGCCGCCGCGCUCCCUUGAGCUUCUCCAUAAGCUUCCCCAUGCCUCCUGGUUGGGACGCGGAUGGCCACAAGGCUUGGGCAAUACCCUGCGUCACCUGCCGAACUUGUUCGUGCAAUUUUGAGAGCUCUGGUAGAAGAUCACCUGCAGAACCGGGAAUCUCCUCCGCGGGAUGACCCGUCAGCAUACCUGCAGACAUAACUCUGUUAGCCAGCUUCUUCGCCGAACUCUUUCAAAAGUUCGUUCAAGUACUUACUGAAAAUGCCGCGUCGAAGCCACUUAUUCUCCUUCACGGAGUCUGCAAGCUGGGCUCGGACAUCUUUCAGUUCCACGCCCAGCUGGAUAUUGGUGUCCUGGAUAUUAUUUUUCUCCUACCUGACCCGUGUAAGCACGUGCUCGCCAGCAUUUAGCUGUCGAUCAGCACGUUCCGCAUCCUCCGGCAUGGCCUCCAGAUUCACUCCGGAGUCAUCUGCAACAUCUAUUGUUAGAUUUGCAUGCAUGCCGCAUACUAUCUGGUACCUAUCAUUCUUUGUAAUGGAAACAAGUGUUACCAGAGGGGGCCUUCUCGGAUUCCUUGAACGCAGCAACUGUGGCCCGUAGCUGGGCUUUGCACUCUUCCACCUCUUGAGACAAUUGUGUAUUCUUCUCUGUAAGAACCUGCACAAAUAAUGAUCCUUAAAUCAGUUGUGUCAACUGUUUCAAGUCUCAGGGGCUACUGAUAUAUAUAAUCGUCAGAUUUUCUUACCCGUAUAUCCUUUACAUACUGGUUUGUGGCUCUGGCUAGACCGUUUUGAGCAGCACGGAUGUACGCGUCUCCUAAGUUGAAGGCAUCGAACGCCUCUUGGGAGAAACAAGUGUCAUGGAGUACGGCCCGGCGACGCCUAUGAUUCAUGGCGCUCUCCACUUCGGAAUUUGUAGCGGAUAGUCUGUCAGCAUCCUCUGUAGGAGGAGCAUCCGGCAUUCGCCCCGUGCUAGCUUCCGCCUCUAUGUCCAGCCUUGGAGCCCGACUGGUGGAGGCGUGAUCGGCAACCUCUCCGGAUAUAGUUCGGCGAGCGUUUUUCCUACUAGGAAACAUGGACGUCAUUAUAUUUUAUGAAAUACGACAACCACGGAGCGAGGUUCUCUAUCAUACCUCUACGCCGGCGUCUCAGUCCUGACCGCCUUCCUUUUUGGCCUACCCGGCUUCGGUGUCCCUUGUUGGCGAGUCACUGCGGGUUCGGAUGGCGUCCCGAGGGCCUUCCCUGUAAAACACCAUAUGUGUACGGUAGGUGAGGUGCAUAAAAGGGGAUCUGAUACGUCUCCGUCGUAUCUACUUUUCCAAACACUUUUGCCCUUGUUUUGGACUCUAACUUGUAUGAUUUGAAUGGAACUAACCCGGACUGACGCUGUUUUCAGCAGAAUUACCAUGAUGUUGUUUUAUGUGCAGAAAAAAAUAUUCUCGGAAUGACCUGAAACUCCACGAGAGGUCUUAGAAAAAAUAAUAAAAAAUCCUCGCCAAAUAUGAAGACCAGGGGGCCCACACCCAACUCAUGAGGGUGGGGGGCGCCCCCCAGGGCGCGCCCCCUACCUCGUGGGCCCCCUGUUGACCCUCCGACGCCAACUCCAACUCUAUAUAUUUGCUUUCGGAGAGAAAAAAUAAGAGAGAAGAAAUCAUCGUGUUUUACGAUACGGAGCCGCCGCCAAGACCUAAAACCUCUCGGGAGGGCUGAUCUGGAGUCCGUUCGGGGCUCCGGAGAGGGGGAUUCAUCGCCGUCGUCAUCAUCAACCAUCCUCCAUCACCAAUUUCAUGAUGCUCACCAUCGUGCGUGAGUAAUUCCAUCGUAGGCUUGCUGGACGGUGAUGGGUUGGAUGAGAUUUAUCAUGUAAUCGAGUUAGUUUUGUUAGGGUUUGAUCCCUAGUAUGCACUAUGUUCUAAGAUUGAUGUUGCUAUGACUUUGCUAUGCUUAAUGCUUGUCACUAGGGCCCGAGUGCCAUGAUUUCAGAUCUGAACCUAUUAUGUUUUCAUGAAUAUAUGUGAGUUCUUGAUCCUAUGUUGCAAGUCUAUAGUCACCUACUAUGUGUUAUGAUCCGGCAACCCCGAAGUGACAAUAAUCGGGACCACUCCCGGUGAUGACCAUAGUUUGAGGAGUUCAUGUAUUCACUAUGUGCUAAUGUUUUGUUCUGGUUCUCUAUUAAAAGGAGGCCUUAAUAUCCCUUAGUUUCCAAUAGGACCCCGCUGUAACGCCCUUGAUGCGGCUAUAUCUCCUACGUGUCGAAGCACGACUUAGAGGCAUAACCGCAUUGAAAGCAAUGUCGCAAGUAAGGUAAUCUUCACAACAACCCAUGUAAAUAGAUAAUAGGGGAAAAGGUACAUAGUUGGCUUACACUCGCCACAUCACACAAAUAUAUGAAUAACAUUACAAUCAUCCAAUACACUCAGGGUCCGACUACGGUACCAAAAUAAAAGAUCAACCCCAACAUUCGACACGGUCCCCGAUCGCCCCAACUGGGCACCACUACUGAUCAUCUCGGAAAGACACAUAGUAACAACGAGAGUCUUCAUCGAACUCCCACUUGAGCUCAAGCGCAUCAUCUGGAACGGUAUCAUCGGUCCCUACAUCUGGUUUGGAAGUAAACUGUGAGUCACGGGGACUCAGCAAUCUCGCACCCUCGCGAUCAAGACUAUUUAAGCUUAUAGGUAAGGCAAGGUAAAUAUGUGGAGCUGCAGCAAGCGACUAGCAUAUAUGGUGGCUAACCUGUUCGCAAAAGAGAGCGAGAAGAGAAGGCAAAACACGAACGAAGAACUAUGAUCAAGAAGUGAUCCUAUAGCAACCUACGUCAAGCAUUACUCCAACACCGUGUUCACUUCCCGGACUCCGCCGAGAAGAGACCAUCACGGUUACACACGCGGUUGAUUCAUUUUAAUUAAGUUAAGUUUCAAGUUAUCUACAACCGGACAUUAACAAAUUCCCGUCUACCCAUAACCGUGGGCACGGCUUUCGAAAGUUCAAAUCCCUGCAGGGGAGUCCCAACUUAGCCCAUCACAAGCUCUCACGGUCAACGAAGGAUAUUCCUUCUAGCGGGAAGACCCGAUCAGACCCGGCAUCCCGGUUACAAGACAUCCUCGACAAUGGUAAAACAAGUCCAGCAAGACCACCCGCUAUGCCGACAAAUCCCGAUAGGAGCUGCACAUAUCUCGUUCUCAGGGCACACCGGAUAAGCUAAGCAUACGGGAGCCAACGUAACCCAAGUUGCCAAGGGACGGCCCCGCAUGGUGCUCUGGGUUGGACCAACACUUAGAGAAGCACUGGCCCGGGGGUUCAAAAUAAAGAUGACCCUUGAGUCCGCGAAACCCAAGGGAAAAAGGCUAGGUGGCGAAUGAUAAAAACCAAGGUCGGGCCUUGCUGGAGGAGUUUUAUUCAAGGCAAACUGUCAAGGGGUUCCCGUUAUAACCCAACCGCGUAAGGAACGCAAAAUCCGGGAACAUAACACCGAUAUGACGGAAACUAGGACGGCAAGAGUGGAACAAAACACUAGGCAAAAGGCCGAGCCUUCCACCCUUUACCAAGUAUAUAGGUGCAUUAAGAUAACAAGAUAAUAUAGUGAUAUCCCAACAAUAAACAAUGUUCCAACAAGGAACGAUCUCCAAUCUUCACCUGCAAGUCGCAACGCUAUAAGAGGGGUUGAGCAAAGCGGUAACAUAGCCAAACAACGGUUUGCUAGGACAUGGUGGGUUAGAGGUUUGACAUGGCAAUUUGGGAGGCUUGAAAGCAAGUGGUAGGCAUCGCAGCAUUGGCAUAGCAAAAGAGCGAGCAUCUAGCAAAAGCAAAGACAGUAGUGAUUUCGAGGGUAUGAUCAUCUUGCCUGCAAAGUUGUCAGAGUUGACUGGAUCCUCGAAAGCAAACUCAACGGGCUCCUUGUUAGCGAACUCGUCUCCCGGCUCUACCCAAGCAACACAAACAAGCAAACGGAACACAAUCAACCACGUGCAAAGCUCAAACAAUAUAAUGCAAAGAUGAUAUGCUAUGCGGGAUGCAUAUGCAAGAUGUGACAAGGAAUGCAUGAACCUGACGUCAACUUGGAAAUCCAAGUGUGCCACUGGAAAGAUGAGAUGAAAUCGCUUGGAAACGAUAUAAAGAACGCCGGAAUCGGAGUUACGGUUUGGAAAUGGCAAGCAAUUCAAAUAUGGUCACGUUCUGCGAUUUACAGCAAGUAGCCAUCUAAAUGCAACAAGAUGAACAUGCUACAGCACCCAAACAUCGCAUCAAAAUAGAUGGCAGGAACCCAUUCGUGAUGCUUAACAAAAGUCUAGCACUGAGCUAUGGCCAACUCAUCCAUUAACAGAUUCAAACAAGCAUGGCAAAAUUGCAUAUGGUAAACAGAUUUCAGACUUAGUGAAAUUAACACUUGUCUGGAAUUUCAGAUCAGAUAGCACUCUUUGGAGCAUGAAAACUAUAUGCUACAAGACCUGAACAUGGCAAAGUAAAGCAUGGCAUGGAGCUACCCAAAGAGCUUAACAAAAGUCCCUUAGUGACCUUGAGCCAAAAGGGAUCAGAAAAUACAUUUGCAAGCAUGUGAACAUCGCAAAAACAUAAACAGAUCACAGAUUUAGUGAAAACUGGAGCAUGCUGAGACAGAUAUCAAGUAGGCAUAUUUACGAGCUCGAUGCACUCACUACAGAGCAAGUCAUGACAAGCUAUGCAUACACCCAUCAAGAAUACACAAAAUGCAAGCUAGACAUGGCAAUAACAAUAGCAUAGCAUGCACGGAUCAACUACAACAUCAUCGGCAAAAUCGCUAACAAGUAGACAAUCUACCCAGAUUCAUGAAAUGAUAAAAGUAGAGCUCGAUUGACUCAAGCUAGGGUGCUCCAUAAUUGCUAACAAAGACAUGGAUGGAUAGAGCACUACAAUAUUAACAAAACAUCCUUACUGAUCAUCCUCAAAAGAGGCACGGAUCACUAGGAAACAACAUCAACAUAUGACCAUAUGAGAUAAACAGAUCAAGGACUUGGUGGAAAUGCUAAGUCCCUGAAAUCAGCAUUACCAAGUGCCUCACUUUGCAAGCUUGUGCUAGUCACCACACACAUCACAAAAAUACAUGGGUUGCACCUCUGUAAAGAUGGCAAAACCCUUAACAAAACAUAUGUAGAGCUCAUGGGCAUAUCAUGCACACAUAAAUCAUGGCAAAAAUGACAAAUAGCUAAAUGGAGCAGCAUAUCUGACAAUUAUCUCAAGUAGCACUCUUCUAACAGAAUUUCGGGCAUCAAUAUGAACUCAAAUGAAAAUGAUGCAAUGGAAUGAAAUGAUGUAUUCUCUGAGACGAACAUUUUGAUAUGCUAUAUGACCAAAACGGAGCUAUGGAUGCGGAGAUGUAGCAUGAUGAACAUGGGUAGAAAAUAUGAACAGGAAAAAGACUUGGACGAAAUCAACCUCCGAAUCAGAUCUGGAUCUAGGGUUCGUCCCCGAGCAUGCGAACCGAGGAUGAACUGAGCUCUCGCCGGAGUUGGACGGGGUGACGCCGGAGAAGAGGAGACGACGGCGACCGGAUCUGGAGAGGGGGGGGAGGUGUCGCCGGAGUCCUCAAGCCCAGAUCCCGCACGGACGGAGGACGCAGCGGCGUCGGCGGCGACCGGGCCGCGGGUUCUCCGGCGGGCGGAGGCGGCACCCAGGCGGCGGCGCGGCAAGGGAGGCGGCAGCCGGCGUGGAGGCGUCGCGAGGAAGGCGCGGCUGCGCGGGCGGAGGAGUGGGGCGGCGUGACCGGAUCUGCGGGGGCCGGCUUCGGCCCGAGCGAGCCGGCGGCGGCGGAUGGUGGCCGGGCCACGUGGCGGUCUGCGGUUGGACGGGCAUGGCGGCGGACGUGUCCGGCUCCGUCCGGACAUGUCCGGCGCGGAGAGGGACUAGCUCUAGGGUUAGAGAAGGAGGGGAUCCGGGAUUUUCGGGGAGAGACCUUUAUAUAGGCAUAGAGGGAGCUAGGAGAGUCCAAAUGAGGUGCGGUUUUCGGCCACGCAAUCGUGAUCGAACGAUCUAGAUGAUGGUGAAGGUUUUGGUGAGUUUUGGGCCAACUUGGAGGGGUGUUGGGCUGCAACACACACGAGGCCUUUUCGGUCCCUCGGUUAAUCGUUGGAGUAUCAAACGAAGUCCAAAUGGUACGAAACUUUACAGGCGGUCUACCGGUAGUAAACCAAGGCCGCUUGGCAAGUCUCGGUCCAAUCCGUAAAUGUUUAAUCCCCACACACGAAAGAAAGGUAGAAAUGACCACCGGAGGAGAACGAAGCGCCGGAAUGCAAAACGGACAACGGGAAAAAAGCUUGAAUGCAUGAGAUGAACACGUAUGCAAAUGCGAUGCACAUGAUGACAUGAUAUGAGAUGCAUGACAACGAUAACAACACAUGGAGACAAAGACCCGAACCCGAGAAAAUAAAAUAACUUAAGGCCGGAAACGGCAAGAGUUGGAAUACAUAUUGGGAAAGUCAUAUCCGGGGUGUUACAACACUCCACCACUACGAAAGGAUCUCGUCCCGAGAUCUAGGACUGAAAGAACGCCGGGUAUUCAGAACGGAGGUGAUCAUCGUGUUCCCAGGUAGCUUCACGGUCGGAAUGGUGUGACCACUUGACUUUGAGGAAUUUGAUUGACUUGUUGCGAGUCUUGCAUUCGGUCUCUUCAAGAAUAGCAACUGGGUGCUCACGAUAGGAGAGAUCUUCUUGGAGCUCAAUGUCCUCGAAGUUGACGGUGCGGUCAGGAGUCUUGAAGCACUUUCGGAGCUGAGAGACAUGGAACACGUCAUGAACAUUUGCAAAGUUUGAAGGAAGCUCGAGUUGAUAGGCGAGAUCGCCUCUCUUGCUGACAAUCUUGAAAGGUCCCACGUAUCUGGGGGCAAGCUUCCCUUUGAUACCGAAGCGACGAGUACCUUUCAUAGGAGAGACGCGGAGGUAAACAUGAUCUCCGAUCUCAAAAGCCAAAUCACGGUGCUUACUAUCAUAGUAGCUCUUCUGACGGGAUUGGGCUGCUUUGAGGUUAUCUCGAAUGACUUUGCACAUUUCCUCUGCCUCUGUGAUUAAGUCAUUUCCGAGAAGCUGACGUUCACCGGUUUCGGACCAGUUGAGAGGGGCACGGCACUUCCUGCCAUACAGAAAUUCAAAUGGGGCCUUGCCCGAACUUGCUUGAAAACUGUUGUUGUAGGAGAAUUCAGCAUAAGGAAGACAAUCCUCCCACUUCAUGCCGAAGGAGAUCACACAAGCCCUGAGCAUAUCUUCAAGGAUCUGAUUGACACGCUCGACUUGACCGCUAGUUUGAGGAUGGAAAGCUGUGCUGAAGCGGAUGUUGGUUCCCAUGGCCUUCUGAAAAGAAUCCCAAAACUUGGAGGUAAAUAUGCUGCCACGGUCUGAAGAGAUCACUUGUGGGAUGCCGUGCAGAGAGACAAUUCGAGAGGUAUAGAGUUCCGCCAAUUGAGCUGCAGUGAUUGACUCUUUGAUAGGCAGAAAGUGAGCCACUUUAGUGAGUUUGUCGAUGACAACGAAUAUAGCAUCAUUGCCACGCUUGGACUUUGGAAACCCAGUCACGAAGUCCAUCUCAAUGUGGUCAAACUUCCAUUCUGGAAUGGCAAGAGGUUGGAGGAGACCCGCUGGCCUUUGGUGUUCUGCCUUCACUCUUCUGCAGACAUCACAUUCAUUCACGAAUUGAGCAAUCUCGCGCUUCAUUCGAGUCCACCAAUAAGCCUGCUUGAGGUCCUGAUACAUCUUCGUGCUCCCAGGGUGGAUGGAGAGGAGAGAAUUGUGAGCCUCGUUCAUGAUCACUUUACGAAGAUCACCUUCAGGUACAACAAUACGAUCCUCGAAGAAGAGAGUAUCCUUGUCAUCAAGGCGGUAGCACUUGUACUUUGGUCGACUCUUGGCAAUCCCAAUCUUCACCUUUUUCACCAUAGCAUCAAGAAGCUGGGCUUGGCGAAUCUAGUCUUCCAAGGUAGGAGAGACUUGAAGGUUGGCGAGGAAACCUUGAGGAACAACUUGCAGAUUAAGUUUGCGGAAAGCUUCACAAAGCUCGGGUUGAUAAGGCUUGAGAAUCAGACUGUUGCAAUAAGCCUUCCUGCUCAAUGCGUCAGCAAUCACAUUGGCCUUGCCUGGAGUAUACUCGAUACUCGGAUUAUACUCUUGAAUCAUUUCGACCCAUCGAGUUUGCCUGAGGUUGAGAUUAGGCUGAGUGAAGAUGUACUUGAGACUCUUGUGAUCAGUGAAAAUGUCCACUUUUCUUCCUAAUAAGAGAUGUCUCCAAGUCAAAAGAGCAUGCACAACUGCUGCCAACUCGAGAUCAUGAGUGGGGUAGUUCUUUUCAUUGGGCUUCAACUGGCGAGAGGUAUAAGCAACAACUUUCUUCUCUUGCAUCAGCACUGCGCCAAGACCUUGGAGAGAGGCAUCACAAAAGACCUCGUACGGCUUGGAUUCAUCAGGCGGAGUCAGAACUGGAGCAGUGAUCAAUUUCUCUUUCAAAGUGUUGAAAGCAAUGUCACACUCCGGAGACCAAACAUACUUGACGUGCUUCUGGAGAAUAUUUGAGAGAGGCUUCGCGAUCUUAGAAAAGUUUUCAACGAAUCUUCGACAAUAGCUUGCGAGACCGAGGAAGCUACAGAGUUGCUUCACGUUCUGAGGAGGUUCCCAAUUCACAAUUGCACACACCUUCUCAGGAUUCACGGCAAUGCCCUUGGUAGAGAUGAUAUGACCAAGAUAAAGAACCUCAUCGAGCCAAAAUUCGCACUUGGAGAACUUGGCGUAGAACUUGUGUUCCCUGAGCUUAUCGAGAACCAAACGCAAGUGCUUGGCAUGAUCUUCCUUGUUCUUCGAGAAAACCAGAAUGUCGUCGAGAUAGACCAAAACUAAGUCAUUGGUGUAGACGUUGAAGAUGAAGUUCAUCAUGCGAGAGAACGUCGGAGGAGCGUUGACGAGGACAAAAGACAUGACAGUGUAUUCAUAUGAACCAUAGCUUGUCCUGAAAGCCAUCUUGGGAAUAUCUUGCUCACGGAUUCGAAUCUGAUGAUAACCCAUACGGAGAUCAAGCUUGGAGAAUACUUGGGCACCUUUGAGUUGUUCGAACAGCUCGUUGAUGUUGGGAAGUGGGUAUUUGUUCUUGAUGGUCUUCUUGUUCAAUGGACGGUAAUCAACACAAAGUCGCUCCGUUCCAUCCUUCUUCUUCACAAAAAGAACACCACAACCCCACGGAGAAGAACUAGGCCGAAUGAGACCCAUUCUCUCUUGAAUAUCGAGUUGCUUCUUCAUCUCCUUCAACUCUUCAGGUCCGAGCUUGUAAGGACGCUUGCACACAGGUUCCGUGCCAGGCUCAAGAUCGAUAACGAAUUCAACUGGCCGGUGCGGAGGCAUUCCUGGAAGCUCUUCUGGAAAGACGUCUUGAUAUUCGCAAACGAUUGGAAUUUGCGAGAUAACAUCCAGUUCACCCUUCUCAUUGAGAGAAAACAGACGGAUGGUAUCAUCACGAGCGGCAAAGACAAUUACAUCCUCAGACGAAUGAGUCAAUUGAAUCUGCCUGGCUGCACAGUCAAGAUAUGCCUUGUUCUUAGAAAGCCAAUCCAUUCCGAGAGUAAGAUCAAUAUCCGAGUUACCAAGAACUGCCGGAGAAGAGAGAAACUUGUAAUCGCCCAACGUGAUAGAGACAUCCGGGGCGCAAUUGUUAGAAGUCAUUUGCUUGCCCGGAGACACAAUCUUCAACAGAACAGGAAUCCUUUCGGUCACAAAAUCAUGAUUGCCAACAAAUGGUGUUGAAAUAAAAGAAAGCGAUGCACCAGUGUCAAAAAGAACUUUUGCAGGAACAUUGUUAACAGGAAGGUUACCCAUAAUCACAUCUGGCGAGUCCUCUGCCUGAGCUGCAUUCAGAAAAUUGACCUUGGCAUGCUUGGGGUUAUGCUUGACCACAGUUGUACUUGCCGAUCUGACAGGAGGAGGAGGAAGACGCCUCUGGUUGAAACACUUGUUGGCAUAGUGACCCUUCUGUUGGCACUUGUUACACAUGACCUCUGAAAGCGGAUGGUGAUACGGAGCACUCGAUCUUGGAGCUUGAGACGAAGUCUUGUUCUGAAAUCCAGGGUUGUGUGGGUGGGAAGAUCCACUGCCACCUUUGCUCUUCUGCUGAUACGGCUGACGGAACAGAGGAGGAGGAAGCCAAUACUUCUGCUGCUUGGCCACUUGAGUAGAGGAAGACGGAGUAGUGUCUCUGACUCGCUUCUUGGAAGCAUCACACCUCAGUUGAGCGGCCUCUUGCUUCAAUGCCAUGUUGUAGAACUCAUCAUACCUCAAGGGCUCAAAGAGAACAAGAGCUAGCUGAAUUUCUUCUCUGAGACCACCCCUGAACUGGUAUAUCAUGCUCUUCUCAUCAGGCACGUCCUGCUUAGCAAAGCGGGCGAGCUUCUGAAACAACUUGUUGUAGUCAUAGACAGACAAAGAGCCUUGCUUCAGGUUGCGGAAUUCCUCACGCUUGCUUUCAACCAUGCUCAGAGGGAUAUGAUGAGCUUUGAAGUCUUGACGGAAUUCGUCCCAAGUGAUCACACGUCCACCUCUGGAGUCCUUGUACUGCUGGAACCACUCUGCGGCUCGGUCUUUGAGUUGGAAGGAAGCAAACUUGACGAAGUCCUCAGGCCUGACGUUACUGCACUCGAAAUGCUUGCAUAGAUCCAUGAGCCAAUCGUCAGCAUUAGUUGCCUCAACGCAAUUGUUGAAAGUUUUUGGCCCGUUAGCAAGGAACUGGUUGAGUGUAGCAAAGUGAUUCUGAUUGUUGCCUUGGUUCCCUUGGUUCCCUUGAUUGCGCUCUUGAAGAAUUUGCAUGAUCAACUGUGUGUUUGCAUUGGUUGCGGCCAUCACAGCUUGCCAUGCCUCCGGAGGAGGUGGAGGUGGUGGCGGAUCUUGAUUCUGAUUCUGAUUGGUGCUCUUAGCGGGAGCCAUCCUGAAGAGGUUGACCACCAUUAGCACAUAGACAGAUAACAUGAAGCUUAAUCCAACGGAAUGAAAAUUGCAACAUAAAGUCUUCACAUCUGAACAAAAUGAACGAAUGCAUUCCUCUUGAAAUGGUCACAUAUCCAUAAAUUGAGAAGCCACUUAGAAUUUAGGUAGAGAAAUAAAUCAACAAGGUACGGAUCAAGAACGAAUACUCGGUAAGAAAUCCCAAUCUCAACCCAAAUAUCCAUGGAAGAAGAACUAGAGCUACAAGAAUUCCCACCUAUGAAACUCCUGAACCUUUCCGGUUAUGCAAUCAGGUGUUGGGGAUACAGGGGAAGCAUAAUAUCUCACCCAAAUCUAGCAAAUCCUACAUCCAGCUGUAUCCAUCCUUCAACACAUAACCAAGAAAAACUUCGGAAACCAUCUACCUCAACCUUCGAAAAGCAUCCGUUAUACAAGUUAUGGCGAUACUCCCGAACUCCCGCCCCAGUACUGGGUGGCGUCGAGGUUAUCUCACCAACGAACUGCAUAAAAGAGAUUUUUGAUGUCCGCGUACUAAACUCAGGUAUUCCAGAACUGCAACGAUAAAAUUAUGACGACAACACCUCAGAGGUCAACUCCCCGGGACACUUCCACAAAACCCCAGACAGGAGGCACCAAGACAAUGUUCUCGUCACAAAACCAUCGGAACGAUUCCAAGAUACCCGCGUGGUCCUAAAUUUUUUUAGUGAAAUUUGAGAAGAGAAGAGUCAAAACUCUAUGUCAGGAUGCCAUACCAGAGCGAUGAGGAGACUGGGAAGUAAAAAGAAUUCCUAAACUCUUUGAUAUAUAAUUCCUAAAUGACUCAAAACAUUUUUCUAGACACAACUCGGCCACUAAAAACGAUCAAGCAAUGGGGCUCCUAAGGUCGGGGAAGGCUCUAAUACCAACUUGUAACGCCCUCGAUGCGGCUAUAUCUCCCACGUGUGGAGGCACGACUUAGAGGCAUAACCGCAUUGAAAGCAAUGUCGCAAGUUAGGCAAUCAUCACAACAUCCCAUGUAAUAUAAAUAAUAAAGGGGAGAAACAUAGUUGGCUUACACUCGCCACGUCACACAAAGUACAUAAAUAGCAUUACAACAUUCAAACACUCAUGGCCCGACUACGGUACCAAAAUAAAAGAUAACCCAACAUGCGACACGGUCCCGAUCACCCCCAACUGGGCACCACUACUGAUCAUCAGGGAAAGACACGUAGUAUCGUUGAGAGUCCUCGUAGAACUCCCACUUGAGCUCAAGUGCGUCACCUGGAGCGGAAUCAUCAGGCCCUGCAUCUGGUUUGGAAGUAAUCUGUGAGCCACAGGGACUCAGCAAUCUCGCACCCUCGCAAUCAAGACUAUUUAAGCUUAUAGGUAAGGCAAGGAAAAUAUAUGUGGAGCUGCAGCAAGCGACUAGCAUAUAUGGUGGCUAUCCUAUUCUCAAAAGAGGGCGAGAAGAGGAGAUAAAGCGCGAGCGAGAAACUAGAGGACAACCUGCGCAAACAUUACUCCAACACCAUGUUCACUUCCCGGACUCCGCCGAGAAGAGACCAUCAUGGUAACUCACACUGUUGAUUCAUUUUAAUUAAGUUUAGGUUCAAGUUAUCUACAACCGGACAUUAACAAAUUCCCAUCUGCCCAUAACCGCGGGCACGGCUUUCGAAAGUUCAAAUCCUUGUAGGGGAGUCCCAACUUAACCCAUGACAAGCUCUCACGGUCAACGAAGGAAUAGACCUCCUCCUGAGACAUUCCGAUCAGACUCGGUAUCCCGGUUCAUCAAAACACUUCGACAGGUUAAAACAAAUCCAGCAACACCGCCUGAAUGUGCCGACAAAUCCCGAUAGGAGCUGCACAUAUCUCGUUCUCAAGGCACACUCAGAUGAACACUACGUACAACUAAAACCAAGCCUCGAGUUGCCCCGAGGUGGCGCUGCAAGUGUCUCUAUUUGGACCAACACUCAGAGGAGCACUGGCCCGGGGGGGUUUAAAUAAGAUGACCCUCGGGCUCCGGAAACCCAAGGGAAAAGAGGCUAGGUGGCAAAUGGUAAAACCAAGGUUGGGCAUUGCUGGAAAAGCUUUAAUCAAGGCGAACUAUCAAGGGGUUCCCAUUAUAACCCAACCGCGUAAGGAACGCAAAAUCCGGGAACAUAACACCGAUAUGACGGAAACUAGGGCAGCAAGAGUGGAACAAAACACUAGGCGAGAGGCCGAUCCUUCCACCCUUUACCAAGUAUAUAGAUGCAUUAAGAUAACAUGGCAAUAUAAUGAUAUCCCAACAAGUAAAUAAUGUUCCAAACAAGGAACGGUCUCCAAUCUUCACCUGCAACUAGCAACGCUAUAAGAGGGCUGAGCAAAGUGGUAACAUAGCCAAACAACGGUUUUCUAGGACAUGGUGGGUUAGAGGUUUGACAUGGCAAUUUAGGAGGCUUGAAAGCAAGUGGUAGGCAUCGUAUCAUUGGCAUAGCAAAAGAGCGAGCAUCUAGCAAAAGCAAAGAUAGUAGUGAUUUCGAGGGUAUGAUCAUCUUGCCUGCAAAGUUGUCAGAGUUGACUGGAUCCUCGAAAGCAAACUCAACGUGCUCCUCGUUAGUGAACUCGUCUCCCGGCUCUACCCAAACAACACAAACAAGCAAACGGAACACAAUCAACCACAUGCAAAGCUCAAACAAUAUGAUGCAAAGAUGAUAUGCUAUGCGGGAUGCGAUGCGGGAUGCAUAUGCAAGAUGUGACAAGGAAUGCAUGAACCUGGCCUCAACUUGGAAAUCCAAGUGUGCCACUGGAAAUAUGAGAUGAAAUCGCUUGAAAACGAUAUAAAGAAUGUCAGAAUCGGAGUUAUGGUUUGGAAAUGGCAAGCAAUUCAAAUAUGGCCACGUUCUGCGAUUUACAGCAAGUAGUCAUCUAAAUGAAACAAGAUGAACAUGCUAUAGCACCCAAACAUGGCAUCAAAAUACAUGGCAGGAACCCAUUCAUGAUGCUUAACAAAAGUCUAGCACUGAGCUACGGCCAACCCAUCCAUUAACAGGUUCAAACAAGCAUGGCAAAAUUGCAUAUGGUAAACAGAUUUCAGACUUAGUGAAAUUAACACUUGUCUGGAAUUUCAUAUCAGAUAGCACUCUUUGGAGCAUGAAAACUAUAUGCUACAGGACCUGAACAUGGCAAAAUAAAGCAUGGCAUGGAGCUACUCAAAGAGCUUAACAAAAGUCCCUUAGUGACCUUGAGCCAAAAGGGAUCAGAAAAUAAAUUUGCAAGCAUGUGAACAUGGCAAAAACAUAAACAGAUCACAGAUUUAGUGAAAACUGGAGCAUGCUGAGACAGAUAUCAAGUAGGCAUGUUUACGAGCUCGAUGCACUCACUACAGAACAAGUCAUGACAAGAUAAGCAUACACACAUCAAGAAUACACAAAAUUCAAGCUAGAAAUGGAAAUAAAAAUAGCAUAACAUGCACGAAUCAACUACAACAUCAUCGGCAAAAUCGCUAACAAGUAGACAAUCUGCCCAGAUUCACGAAAUGACAAAAGUAGAGCUUGAUUGACUCAAGCUAGGAUGCUCCAUAAUUGCAAACAAAGACAUGGAUGGCUAGAGCACUGCAAUAUUAACAAAACAUCCUUACUGAUCAUCCUCAAAAGAGGCACGGAUCACUAGGAAACAACAUGAACAUAUGGCCAUAUGAGAUAAACAGAUCAAGGACUUGGUGGAAAUGCUAAGUCCCUGAAAUCAGCAUUAACAAGUGCCUCACUUUGCAAGCUUGUGCUAGUCACCACACACAUCACAAAAAUACAUGGGUUGCACCUCUGGAAAGAUGGCAAAACCCUUAACAAAACAUAUGUAGAGCUCAUGGGCAUAUCAUGCACACAUAAAUCAUGGCAAAAAUGACAAAUAGCUAAAUGUAGCAGCAGAUCUGACAAUUAUCUCAAGUAGCACUCUUCUAACAGCAUUUCGGGCAUCAAGAUGAACUCAAAUGAAAAUGAUGCAAUGGAAUGAAAUGAUGUACUCUCUGAGGCGAACAUUUUGAUAUGCUAUAUGACCAAAAUGGAGCUACGGAUGCGGAGAUAUAGCAUGAUCAACAUGGGUAGAAAAUAUGAACAGGAAAAAGACUUAGACGAAAUCAACCUCCGAAUCAGAUCUGGAUCUAGGGUUCGUCCCCGACCAUGCGAACCGAGGACGAACCGAGCUCUCGCCGGAGUUGGACGUGGUGACGCCGGAGAAGACGAGACGACGGCGACCGGAUCUGGAGAGGGGGAGGAGGUGUCGCCGGAGUCCUCAGGCGUGGAUCCCGCGCGGACGGAGGACGCAGCGGCGUNNNNNNNNNNNNNNNNNNNNNNNNNNNNNNNNNNNNNNNNNNNNNNNNNNNNNNNNNNNNNNNNNNNNNNNNNNNNNNNNNNNNNNNNNNNNNNNNNNNNNNNNNNNNNNNNNNNNNNNNNNNNNNNNNNNNNNNNNNNNNNNNNNNNNNNNNNNNNNNNNNNNNNNNNNNNNNNNNNNNNNNNNNNNNNNNNNNNNNNNNNNNNNNNNNNNNNNNNNNNNNNNNNNNNNNNNNNNNNNNNNNNNNNNNNNNNNNNNNNNNNNNNNNNCGUGGAGGCGUGGCGAGGGAGGCGCGGCUGCGCGGGCGGAGGAGCGGGGCGGCGGCGACCGGAUCUGCGGGGGCCGGCUUCGGGCCCGAGCGGGCCGACCAUGUGGCGGUGGCCGGGCCACGUGGCGGUCUGUGGUUGGAUGGGCGCGGCGGCGGACGCGUCCGGCUCCGUCCGAACGUGUCCGGCGCGGAGAGGGACUAGGUCUAGGGUUAGAGAAGGAGGGGAUCCGGGAUUUUCGGGGAGAGACCUUUAUAUAGGCAUAGAGGGAGCUAGGAGAGUCCAAAUGAGGUGCGGUUUUCGGCCACGCAAUCAUGAUCGAACGCUCUAGAUGAUGGAGAAGGUUUUGGUGAGUUUUGGGCUAACUUGGAGGGGUGUUGGGCUGCAACACACACGAGGCCUUUUUGGUCCCUCGGUUAACCGUUGGAGUAUCAAACAAAGUCCAAAUGGUACGAAACUUGACAGGCGGUCUACCGGUAGUAAACCAAGGCCGCUUGGCAAGUCUCGGUCCAAUCUGGAAAUGUUUAAUCCCCACACACGAAAGAAAGGUAGAAAUGACCACCGGAGGAGAACGAAGCGCCGGAAUGCAAAACGGACAACGGGGAAAAAGCUCGAAUGCAUGAGAUGAACACGUAUGCAAAUGCGAUGCACAUGAUGACAUUAUAUGAGAUGCAUGACAAUGAUAACAACACAUGGAGACAAAGACCCGAACCCGAGAAAAUAAAAUAACUUAAGGCCGGAAAUAGCAAGAGUUGGAAUACAUAUUGGGAAAGUCAUAUCCGGGGUGUUACACAUGUGAACAUGGCAAAAACAUAAUCAGAUUACAGACUUAGUGAAAAACUGGAGCAUGCAAAUCAGUUAACGAGUAGGCAUGUUCACGAGCUCGAUCCACUCAAUACAGAGCAUGGCAUGAUAAACUAAGCAUACACCCAUCAAUAGUACAUAUCAUAGGAGCUAGACAUGGCAAGAACAACAACAUAGCAUGCACGGAUCAAUAGCAACAUCCUCGGCAAAAUCGCUAAUAAGUCAACAAUCUGCCAGGAUUCACGACAUAGAAAAAGUAGAGCUCGAUUGACUCAAGCUAGGGUGCUCCAUAAAUGCAACCAAAGACAUGGAUCGGUAAAGCACCACAAUGUUAACAAAACAUCCUUACUGAUCAUCCUCAAAAGGGGCACGGAUCACUAGGAAACAACAUGAACAUAUGGCAUAAUGACAAAAUCAGAACAAGGACUUAGUGAAUUUCUAAGUCCCUGAAAUCAGCAUUACCGAUUGCACUACUUUGCAAGCUGGUGCUAGUCACCACACAUAUCACAAAAAUACAUGGUAAGCACCUCUGUAAAGCAUAUAACAAAACUCAUGUAGAGCUAAGGAGCAUAUCAUGCACACAUUAAUCAUGGCAAAAAUGACAAAUAUCUAUUUGAUGAAACAGAUCUGACAAUUAUAUCACAUAGCCCUCUUCCAACAGCAUUUCAGACAUCAAGAUGAGCUCAAAUGAAAAUGCUGCAAUGAGAUGAAAUGAUGUACUCGUCGAGGCGAACAUUUUGAUAUGCUACACACGCAAAUCGGAGCUACGGAUGAGGAGUUACGGCAUGCCAAAGAUUGCAAAAUAAAUCUAAGAGAGGGGGAGAAAGUCAACCCAGAUCUAGGGUUUACUGUAGCGGGUACUGUAGCAGCGGCGGGAUCUCGAGGUCUCCGGCGAGGUUCCUUGCUCCGGUGAGGUGGCAAGGGCGCGGGGACGACCGAAGGAGGCCGGAUCAGGACCGGGACGCGCGGCGGCGAGGUCGGGGAGGCCGGGCAGCGAGGUAGGCGCCGGCGAGGUGGUGAGGGCGAGGCGGCCGGCGAGUGCUCCGGCGAGGUCGCAGUGGCCUGCGGCGGCGGGCGACGGCCGGACGGGAGGAGGAAUACGGGGCGCGGGCGGCGCGAGGAGGAGAUGGGCGGCGCGAGCNNNNNNNNNNCCGGCGGUUGCCACAUGGCGGCUGCUCACUGGAUCAGGGCGGUGUUCGGCGGCGGCGCGAGGAAUUUUAGGGUUAGGGAAAGAAGAGACCCGGGAUUUGGAAUGAGGGGUCUAUAUAUAGAGGUAGGAGGAGCUAGGAGACUCCAAAUGAGGUGCGGUUUUCGGCCACGCGAUCGUGAUCGAACGCUGUAGAUGAUGGAAGGGUCUUUGUUGGUUUUUGGGCCAAAUUGGAAGGAUGAUGGGCUGCAACACAAACAAGUCCUUCUUGGUCCCUCGGUUAACCGUUGGAGUAUCAAAUGAAGUCCAAAUGGCACGAAACUUGACAAGCGGUCUACCGGUAGUAAACCAAGGCCGCUUGGCAAGUCUCGGUCCAAUACGGAAAUGUUUAACCCCCACAAAUGAGAAGAGGUAGAAAGGGGCACCGGAGGAGAUAGAAGCGCCGGCAUGCAAAACGGACAACGGGGAAAAUGCUCGGAUGCAUGAGACGAACACGUAUGCAAAUGCAAUGCACAUGAUGACAUGAUAUGAGAUGCAUGACAAAGACAACAACACACGAAGACAAAAACCCGAACCCGAGGAAAAUAAAAUAACUUAGUGCCGGAAACGGCAAGAGUUGGGAUACAUAUAAGGUAAAUUAAAUCCGGGGUGUUACACCCGCUGCCACGGGAGGGUAGGACAAAAGAUGUCAAGCAAGUCCUUUUCCAUAAGCACGUAUGACUAUAUACGGAAUACAUGCCUACAUUACAUUGAUGAAUUGGAGCUAGUUCUGUGUCACCCUAUGUUAUGACUGUUACAUGAUGAACCGCAUCCGCAUAAUUAUCCAUCACUGAUCCGGUGUCUACGAGUUUUCCAUAUACUGGUUUACGCUUAUUUACUUUUCCGUUGCUACUGUUACAAUCACUACAAAAUAUCAAAAACAUUACUUUUGCUGUCUUUACUUUUGUUGCUGCUACCACCACUAUCAUAUUACUUUGCUACUAAACACUUUGCUGCAGAUACUAAGUUUCCAGGUGUGGUUGAAUUGACAACUCAGCUGCUAAUACUUGAGAAUAUUCUUUGGCUCCCCUUGUGUCGAAUCAAUAAAUUUGGGUUGAAUACUUUACCCUCGAAAGCUGUUGCGAUCCCAUAUACUUGUGGGUUAUCAAGACCUUUUUUCUGGCGCCGUUGCCGGGGAGCAUAGCUCUAUUCUUUGAGUCACUUGGGAUUUAUAUCUGCUGGACACUAUGAAGAACUUGAGAGAUCCAAAAACCAAGAUCUAUCCCUCAACUACGAGGGGAGGUAAGGAACUACCAUCUAGCUCUGCACUUGAUUCACCUUCUGUUAUGAGUAAGUUUGCGACACCUACACCUGCUUCUGCUAUUCGUUCUGAUAUGUCGCAUGUUAUUGAUGAUGCCACUUCUGUUAUGCAUGAUACUUAUGAUGAAACUGCUUCUAUGCCUGAUACUACUGUGCCCCUUAGCGAAUUUCUUGAUGAACAAAUUGCUAGGGCUAGAGAAAGAGAAAUCAUUGAAUCUGAAUACGAUGAUGAUAGUGAUGAUGAAAACAUGCAUGUUAUUCCUAAAGGUUAUCUUUUUGAUAGGGAUGCUUCUUUAGCUAUUUUAGCUUGCAGAGAUAGAUAUGAGCUUAAGAGGUUAUUAAUUAAAUGGAACAAAGAAUCACUUAGAGAUAAAAUGAAACCCGACCCUGCUUUUGCUACUUCACCUAUAUGUGUUCCUGAUAAGGAUUAUGAAUUCUCUGUUGAUCCUGAUAUAAUUACUUUGGUUGAAUCUGAUCCGUUUUAUGGCUAUGAAUUUGAAACUGUUGUGGCACAUCUUACUAAGUUAAAUGAUAUAGCUGCCCUGUUCACUAAUAAUGAGAGAUCACGUUACCUCUAUUUACUCAAAAUAUUUCCAUUCUCAUUAAAGGGCGAUGCUAAGAUAUGGUUUAAUUCUCUUGAACCUGGUUGUGUGCGUAGUCCCCAGGAUAUGAUUUAUUACUUCUCUGCUAAAUAUUUCCCUGCUCAUAAGAAACAAGCUGCUUUGAGGGAAAUAUACAACUUUGUGCAAAUUAAAGAAGAGAGUCUCCCACAAGCUUGGGGGAGGCUUCUCAAGUUACUUAAUGCUUUGCCUGAUCAUCCUCUUAAGAAACCUAAAAUACUUGAUAUCUUUUAUAAUGGACUAAGCGAUGCUUCCAGAGAUUACUUGGAUAGUGUGCUGGUUCUCUUUUCGGGGAAAGAACACCGGAUGAAGCUGAAAUUCUAUUGAAUAAUAUGUUGACAAAUGAAAAUAAUUGGGCACCUCCUGAGCCAGCUCCUGAGCCAUCUCCUACUCCAAUUACUGAGCCUAUUCAUAAACCAACUCCGAGGAAGAGAGGUAUUCUAUUUCUCAGUCCCGAAGAUAUGCAAGAGGCAAAGAAAUCUAUGAAAGAAAAAGGUAUUAAAGCCGAAGAUGUUAAGAAUUUACCUCCCAUUGAAGAAAUACAUGGUCUUAAUAUACCGCAUGUUGAAGAAACGUAUGAUCUCAAUUAUUUAUUUACUAAAGAACCUCCUGAUCCCGAUACCCCGACACAGGUAGUAAAGGUAAAUUCUCUCUAUAGAUAUGAUAAAGCUGAAGUCCCUCCUACUAAAAUUGCUAGUCAGUGCUUGGAUGAGUUUGAUAACUUUAUGUUUAAGCAUGAUGACUUCAAUGCUUAUUUUGGUAGACAAUUAAAAGAAAAUGCUUAUAUGAUUAGAUGCUUGGGUGAAUAUAUGGCUGAUAUUAAAGGUGAACUGAAACUUGUUAGCAAACAUGCUUCUAUGGUUACCACUCAAGUAUAACAAGUACUUAAGGCUCAAAAAGAAGUGCUUGAUGAAAUGAAUAGUAAGAAAAAUGAUUAUGCUUUUAGAGUGGAUACGAGAACUAGUAGAAUGACUCAGGAACCUUUGUAUCCUGAAGGCCACCCUAAGAGAAUCGAGCAAGAUUCUCAAAGAAAUAAUAUUGAUGUUCCUAGUUAUUCUAAAAAGAAGAAGAAGAAAAAUGAUAGAACUGUGCAAACUUCUAGUGAACCUAUUGUUGAACCACCCGAUAAUCCAAAUGAUAUAUCUAUGUCUGAUGCUGAAACACAAUCUGGUAAUGAACAUGAACCUAGUAAAAAUAUUAAUGAUGAUGUUCAUGAUGAUGCUCAACCUAGUAAUGACAAUGAUGUAGAAAUUGAACCUGCUGUUGAUCUUGAUAACCAACAAUCAAAGAAUCAACGUUAUGAUAAAAGAGACUUUGUUGCUAGGAAACAUGGUAAAGAAAGGGAACCUUGGGUUCAGAAACCCAUGCCUUUUCCUCUGAAACCAUCCAAGAAAAAGGAUGAUGAGGAUUUUGAGCGCUUUGCUAAAAUGAUUAGGACUAUCUUUUUGCGUAUGAGAUUAACUGAUGUGCUCAAAACAAAUCCUUAUGCUAAAUAUAUGAAAGAUAUUAUUACUAAUAAAAGAAAGAUACCGGAAGCUGAGAUUUCCACCAUGCUUGCUAAUUAUACUUUUAAGGGUGGAAUACCAAAGAAACUUGGAGACCCUGGAGUACCUACUAUACCUUGCUCCAUCAAAAGAAAUUAUAUUAAAACUGCUUUAUGUCAUCUUGGAGCCGGUGUUAGUGUUAUGCCUCUCUCUUUAUAUCGUAGACUUGACUUGAAUAAACUGACACCUACCGAAAUAUCUUUGCAAAUGGCUGAUAAAUCAACUGCUAUACCUAUCGGUAUCUGUGAGGAUGUGCAUGUUGUGGUUGAAAACGUUACUAUUUUAACGGACUUUGUUAUUCUUGAUAUUCCCGAGGAUGAUAGUAUGUCUAUUAUUCUUGGAAGACCUUUUCUUAAUACUGCAGGGGCUGUUAUUGAUUGCAACAAAGGCAAUGUUACUUUUCAUGUUAAUGGUAAUGAGCAUACGGUACACUUUUCGAGGAAACAACCUCAAGUUCAUAGUAUCAACUCUAUUGGGAAAAUUCCAUCGAUUAUAUUUGGAGGUUUUGAAUUUCCUCUCCCUACUGUCAAGAAGAAAUAUGAUAUUCUUAUUAUAGGGGAUGUGCAUAUCCCCGUUGAGGUAACUUAGUGUUAUUCGAAAUUUCUCUGGUUUCAUGAUUAUCGGAAUGAGUUUGUUAACAAGACUUGAUCAACCUUGUUAGUGGAUUCUUUUUGAUGAGCAUGAUAUGGAUGAAACUAGAAGCACAAACUUCUGUACCCCCUUUAUAUUUUCUGUUAUUUAUAUUAAAUAAAGUAAAAUAGUAUUUUUCUGUCUGUUUCCUGACUUAUCCGUGCAAUAUAAAAAUAUCACGAAAAUAAAGUCCUCAAAAUGCCAUGCCAAUUUAAUAUGAUUUUUUCGGGAAUAUUUGAGGAUUUACUAUGCAAAAAUUACCGCGGGAGGAGCUGACGCCUGGCCACGAGGGUGGUGGGCGCCCCCCCUAUAGGGUGCGCCCCCUACCUCGUGGGCCCAUGGUGGCCCUCCUCCACUUAUCACAGCACCCAUCGUCUUCCUCUGUCUCAAACAAACCCGAAAAACCAACUCAAGCAUGAGUUCCAGCCACUUUUGCUGUGAUUUUCGAUCUCCUUGCUCAAAGCACCUCUCGCAAAACUGCUUGGGGAGAUUGUUCCUUGGUAUGUGACUCCUCCAUUGGUCCAAUUAGUUUUUGUUCUAGUGCCUUAUUCUUUGCAAAUUUGUGCUGCAUAGGUGACCAUGUUCUUGAGCUUGCAUGUCAAAUUUUUAUGGUUCCAAGUAGUUCUAAUGCUUGAUAUAGGCUCUAGGCACUUGUAGGAGUAGUUGAUAUCAAUAUUAUUGAAUUUGGUUUACUUUUAUUUUGAAUUUACUAAAAAUUUCAGAAUUUUUCAGAGAAAAACAAUAUGUUUAGGAAGAUGUUCCAAGGUGGUUCCUCUAAGAAGCAAGAACCCAGGAUUGCUAUGCGCGAUGCUGACGAGGAUCCACCAAGAGACGCUCCGGUGCGGCCUUGCGAAUGGCCGUCGGAAAAUUUUAUGGACCGUGUGGGAACUAAAGAAGAAUUCAAAUCAUAUUUGCGCAAUGCCGGUCUUGAGGAUUUUGAGGCUAACAAAUGCCCCCAGUAUCAUGAUCUCACAAGCUCAUUUGUGAGGAGGUUUGAGUAUUCAUCUUCGCGUAAUUCUCCUUCAGUCAUGUUUGAUCUUUAUGACAAAUCUUAUACCAUGGACCUAGAGGAUUUCACUUCUGCUUGCGAACUUCCAUCGUGGGGCAGUAUUAGGGAUCCCCCUAAAUCUGAAUUUAGAAACUUUCUUUCUAGUAUAACUGUGGGGGAAUCCAGAGAUAUAACGCAAGCUACCAUAGGGAGCGUUCACUUUCCUUCUAUACAUUAUUUUUCUCUUUUCUCGGUAGAUGCAUAAAUGCUAAGGAUGAAGCAUGUCACAUGUGUGUCCCUAAUCUUAGCAUUCUUAGGAGUGCUGUGUUAGGAGACCAAUCUUAUCAUAUGGGAGCCAUUGUAGCUCAUAGGUUGCAUCAUAAUAGACAUUCGUGAGGGUGAUAUGGAGUUGCCUCCUGCAUAUUUAGAUUAUAACUCUAUGGCUUCGCACCAGUUUGUCGAGAGGCCUGAAUCACCUCUCUUAUAUCGCUUAAUUUUUGAUAAACGAUGUGUUUUCCGUAUUACUCUCCCUGCUCCUGCCUUCUUUGAUUCACAGACAAAAGGAAGAUAUGUUAUUACCAGAGAGGAGGCAGAAGAGUACGAGAGGAGGGCGGGGGCAGCCCGACUCCACGCUGCAGCUCAGCAGGUGAUAACCGCUGCACAUAAGUAUGAUCCCAACUAUUCCUCUUCAUCACAGUAUGAUCCCAACAACUAUUAUUAUGGAUAUCCGCCAGGCCAGCCGUGGCCAUAGACCAACUUAGGCCAAAAGCCUAAGCUUGGGGGAGUACGUAUUUCUCACCGACAUUACAUUUAUGUUCACACACACUCAUUGCUAGAUGUCGGUGCUCAUACUUUUUCACUGUAAUAUCCAUGCUAGUUUAUUUUUCUUUUCCUGCUUUCUUCUUGUGUGUUUGUUAAACCUUAAGAAAAACCAAAAAAUUUAGUAGUAGUUUAUUUUUCUGCUGUAGUAGUAAUAAUUAAAAAGAAAACCUGAAAAUAUUUCCCGUUCUUCUUUUGCUUGUUGGGAGCUUUCCCGUGUAAAUAGUUUUAUUUCUUUUCUUUGGGGGUCAGUAGGAGAAGACCAUAAUUAAAUUGUUGAAGUGGCUCUUAUAUGCGUUAUUGUUGAUUUAACCCAGAGCCCAUAUUGCCUUGUCUUCUCCUGUUUAUUGAAUGCUCGCAGAUUCCAGCUUAGUCCAAUGGACGUUCACUCUUAUUAUUAUUUACACCGUUCGGUCGUGCAAGUGAAAGGCAAUUAUGAUGAUAUAUGAUGGACUGACUGAGAUGAGAAAAGCUGGUAUGAACUCGACCUCUUUUGUUUUUGUAAAUAUGAUGAGCCCGUCGUUCUAGAUUCAGCUUACUAUGAAUAAACAUGUUUGCAAUGACAAUUAGAGAUCAUAGUUGCUUGUGCCAUGCUUGAUUAGCUAUGAGUUAUAAUGGUUUACCUUGUAUGCCAACAUGCUAUUGAGAUGAUUAUGAUGUGGUAUGAUGGGGUGGUAUCCUGUUUUGAAUGAUUUAAGUGACUUAACUUGGCACAUGUUCACACAUGUAGUUGAAACAAAAUCAACAUAGCCUUCACGAUAUUUAUGUUCAUCGUGGAUUAUAUCCUACUCAUGCUUGCAUACAAUGUUUAUUAAUUUUAAUGCAUGUACAUGGCUGUUGUCGCUCUCUAGUUGGUCGCUUCCCAGUCUUUUGCUAGCCUUCACCUGUACUAAGCGGGACUGCUUGUGCAUCCAAUCCCUUAAACCCCAAAGUUAUUCCAGAUGAGUCCACUAUACCUUCCUAUAUGCGGUAUCUACCUGCCGUUCCAAGUAAAUUUGUAUGUGCCAAACUCUAAACCUUUAAAUAAAUAUUCUGUUUUGUAUGCUCGAAUAGCUCAUGUAUCAACAAAGGUUGUCCUUAUCUUUCGUGUUAGGCGGGUUAUUCUCAAGAGGAGUGGACUCCGCUCCUCACUCACGAGAAAAUGGCUGGUCACCGGGAUGCCCAGUCCCAUGCUUUAUGCAAACUAAAUCAAAAUUAAUUGCAAACAAAGCUCCCCCUGGGACCUGAUGUAUGUUGGAGGGACUCGUUGUUUCGAGCAAGCCAUGGAUUGAUGCUUGUUGGUGGAGGGGGAGUAUAAACUCUACCAUUCUGUUUGGGAACCGCCUAUAAUGUGUUUAGCAUGGAAGAUAUCGCCAUGUCUUAGUUGCUACGUUGACAAUGAAAGUAUACCGCUCAAAAUACAAUUUAUCUAUUUCAAAACCGAGCUUUGGCACCUCUACAAAUCCCUGCUUCCCUCUGCGAAGGGCCUAUCCAUUUACUUUUAUGCUGAGUCAUCACCCUCUUAUUAAAAAGCACUAGCUGGAGAGCACAACCGUCAUUUGCAUUCAUCACUGUUAAUUUAUAUUGGGUGUGACUAUGAUUGGAUCUCUUUUACCAUGAAUUACAAUGUCUAGUCAGUCCUUGAUCUUUAAAGGUGCUCUGCAUUUAUGUUUUGCGGUCUUAGAAAGGGCUAGCGAGAUACCAUCUUGUUAUAUCAUAUUAUGAUUGUUUUGAGGAAGUGUUGUCAUCUGAGAUUUAUUAUUAUGACUUGCUAGUUGAUUAUGCUAUUGAUAUGGGUAAUUGUGAGACCUGAGAAUUAUUACAAAUGAGGUUAGUUAUGAUCUAUGCUAAAAACUUGAAUGCUGGCUUGACAUAGUUACAACAACAAGAGCAAACAGAGUUUGUAAAAGUUUUUCUUUCUUUCAAUUUGUCAACUGAAUUGCUUGAGGACAAGCAAGGGUUUAAGCUUGGGGGAGUUGAUAUGUCUCCUUCUUAUCUACUUUUCCAAACACUUUUGCCCUUAUUUUGGACUCUAACUUGUAUGAUUUGAAUGGAACUAACCCGGAUUGAUGCUGUUUUCAGCAGAAUUACCAUGAUGUUGUUUUAUGUGCAGAAAAAAAUAUUCUCAGAAUGACCUGAAACUCCACGGGAGGUCUUAGAAAAAAUAAUAAAAAAUCCUUGCCAAAUAUGAAGACCAGGGGGCCCACACCCUUCUCACGGGGGUGGGGGGCACCCCCCAGGGCGCGCCCCCCUACCUCGUGGGCCCCUUGUUGACCCUCCGACGCCAACUCCAACUCUAUAUAUUUGCUUUCAGAGAGAAAAAAAA
rnacentral:lncRNA from 1 species